GAUUGCCACUUGGGAAUGCACCUCAACUUCUUUAAUCCUUGCUUUGGAUUCUCGGCGGAGUGCAGAAGCUGACCAAAAUACUAGGUAUAAGAGAGUCAACUCAAACCUGAGACCUUGGUUGGGUUUUGACAGUUCGGGUGGGAUUUGAAUCUUUUUUUUUUUUUUAAUUUUAUAUUUUAGUCCUUUUACACCCCUUGAGAGGCCUUUACGUGGUUCAUUUGUGGGAUAGACGGCAUCUCAGUGGAUGGCUUUUGGCUGACAUGAUCACCUGGUGUAGGCUAUAAUUUUUCCUUUCUCAGCAGCUCAUAUAACCAACAUUAAGUACCUGUAGCAGGACUUAAAUUGGAAGGUCUACUGUCUUGGAUGCAACAUUUUGCUGUCGUGUCUUUAAGGUGCAGAAGAUUGCAAGAUCCCUUGCGAGAUGAUUAAGUGGCAAAUCUGAGCCUCCAUUUUCUUCUCCUACUUUCUUUUUAGCUAUUAGGAUUCGGUGGUACAUUAUUUAUUUUUCCCAUUUUUUCUUUUCCUCCUCUGGCCUUCUUACUGCAUGUAGAACCUAGGUGGGUUGUUUUCACAUAUUCCUUAUCUACUUCCUGAAAUGUGACACUCUACUUCAUGCUGGUUGAUGCUAAAUCAUUUAUCCUGUAUGUCUUCAGAUUUAGGCAACUUGUUAGUCUUUUAGAUUUUGAAAAGAACUAAAAACAGAUAAAGAUACGGAUGUUUGGCAUGUAUAUCUGUAUAUUUGUAUGCUGAUUCAAAUGUGGGUAUCCAACAUACUUGUAUAUCUACUUUUCCAUUUCUCUUCUUGAUGCCUUGUUGUUGUUGCUGCUGCUGCUGUUGUUAUUCUUGUUAUUAUUAUUACUGUUGUUAUUGUUAUUGUGGUCGCAAUGGUGGUGGUAGAGGUGGGUGGAGUAUCGCCUCUCCGUGUCACGCCCCGAAACCGCUAUCAAUUUGGUCCGGCUCGGGCGCGUCGAACAGACGCCGAACGGACAGAACCUCCCCUCCAUUCUAGGCUCAACAACAAGAUCAUGUACGUUUUUGUCGCCCAGGAUGACAUACAACAUACAUGAACAGUACGAAGCACCGCAAGUGCUACACAAUUAAGAGCAAGACACAAGUAAUAAAAUGAGUGGUAUAAAGAGAGUAACAUCUAGCUAUUACAUCCACAAGGCAUUCAACAUUUAGAUCCUUGAUUAUAUUUACGUCUCCAAAAUGAAUAUUCAUGAUAAUCUCCAAAAUACCCUAGCAAUCUCCCAAAAUACAUCAUAUGUCACGGGGUGCACGAGGGUACACUAAUGCAAGUGGAAGCUGCUAACUAUACCUAGGGCGCGAUGCUCUUACCACGAUCCUCUGCCGGUGCUCUCUCGCUAGGCCCUGCAACAAAGUGGGGUGAGAACUAUAUAAAUAUAGUUCCCAGUGGGUUCGGCCGCCGACUCCGCCGAUCUUCCCACUAGGUCUAAGCAGGCAUAAGCAGAUAGAUAUCUGUAACUGUAAUUGAUGCAUAUAGAAGGAAUUGCAAGAUUCUACUAUGCCUGGAGAACAAGAGUAAAUCACAUAGCCAUGUAAUCUCUAACAUGCUAUAAUAACUCUAUCAAGUAUACAUGCAAUUCUACUAUGCCCAGCAUGCUCAACAUACUCAAUAUGCUUACUAUGCUCAAUAUGCAUAAUUCUCUUGAGUUCAUCACCCAAUCAUCUGGCUAGCCCAAAGGCGCGCCCUCGACUCACAACUCAAAUCCGUCUAUGAAGGGGGACUCGAACCACUCGAGGGAUUGUCUGCGGGACCCCACAUAGGCUAUCCCUUGGGACCCCACAUAGGCUAUCUCAAUCGUUUCACGUGCCAAGACUCCGAAACUCGCACUACUUGUGCGGAGCGACCGCCACAAGCGCUGAACAGACUGUGUGAGUAUAAUCAAAUUCGUUUCCAACGAAGGUACCCGGUCACUACGACCUACAUGCACAAGUGUUCUUUUAACACUACGUUCUAAUGCCACUCGUCAAGUUGUUUACUUGGUAUACAUAUGACACUCGUCAAGUAUGUACUUGGUUCACAUGUCACUUGCCAUAAUGCAAUUGUCCCGACUAUACUAGUCAUAUAUCCGCUAUGCAAGAUCAAGUUAUUGUCUAACUUAUCUCUAUAGGGUUCUAUGUCACAAACUCAUUCUCAUGCACCCUAAGUUCACAUGCCAAGCCUACUAUGUCGCAAUACAAGGGAGCAUGCAAGAAUAGUAAAAGUAACAUCUAAAUACCCUAACAUGCAUGAUACUAUAUAUGUAGUAUGUUCAACAUAGAAAUACUUAGACAUAGGGAGAAGCCCAGUUGCUUCGGGAUGACACCCCCCACCUCUUGGUGAUGUCCUGAAGUUACGAUUCCGUUUCCAAGAUUUUUGGAAGCUUUCGCCGCAAGUUGCGGCAAUCUGUACCCUAACGGCUUCGUUCUUUAAUAUCUUCGCGUACGCUCGUCGUAUCGCCGAACCGAUUUCGCCAACGCGUCAGAAAAUCUAGCAAUUAGGUUUAUACAUGAUCAAUUUAGAUCAAAACCUCACAUAUCGAAAAAUUCUAUUUUUGAGCCCUAACAUGCAAUUACCCCCAAAUAAUCCAAAUUAAAUGGAGCAACAUGCUAAGAAUGCUCAUUAGAGGCUACUAGAAUACUUAAAGUUAAGGAUUAAGCCAAAUCCCAAAAGUUUACCAAAAUGUGAACGCCGAGACGGAAGCACGCCGCUCCAACGGGCGCACGAAAGCUCGAUCCGUCGCUCCCGACGCGUUCGCAAGCUCGUUCUCCGCCAACGCCGCGAAUUUGGGCGAAAGAUCUAGAGAGAUGAGAGAGUUAUUUAGAGAGAGAAAGUGAGGAUUUCUCUCACUACCACCAUGAACAUGUGCUUGUGGGGGUGGUGCUUGGCUGUGAAGAAGAAGCCAAGUCACUAGAAGCUUCUACUUAUAUAGUCAACACCCCAAUAUAGUCAACACCCCAAUAGUAGCAUACACUAUUCACUUCAGGCAGUUCGAAAUCUGAUAUCUUUCGCCGGAGCCCUCUGAAUAUCCGUUUGAGCUCAAAUUUGACAGUCAUGUUCGGAUUUGCUUAACUUAACGAAAGAAAUUUUAAUCUUUCAGUUUCGACCUCGUUUGGUCACCGAAAGCCGUACCGAACUGUAAUCUUUAUCAGAUCACUAUCGGAUUUUAUUUUUCACCUUCCGGAUGUCAGAAUGAUAUGAAACUUUAAAUCUAGCCUCAUAAAAAUAAUUUUGGCUUAUCCUCCAGUUUUCAGAAUUUUCUGACACUGCAUUUUCUGCUAAUUUAUCUGCCCCGUUUCACACAGAAAAUUCUAAAUCUUCUGUUUUCGCUCUGAUUUCAACACGGGUCAUUCCAGACUUAUAUUUUAUGUCUAUAAGUCCAAUAAAAUAGUAUCUCACACUAUUUUUAUUUAUAUUUAUUUUUAUAUUAAAAUUUCAGCAUAUUACAUCCCACCGUAACUUCAUAAUUUAAGAAGUUCGGUACCUUACAAUCCGCCCCUUCCUGAUGGGGGAAACCCACAAAAAUUUGCUUUUCGGGUUGACCAAGCCUUCAUUCUUGGUUCUGGUUCUAUAUAUAUAUAUAUAUACAUACAAACUGUUUGUAUAUAGAGGAAAAAAGAAAAAGAAAAAAGCAACAAAACCAAAUGAAGCCUUAUUAAGGUUUCAGUGGUAGGUGCAUGGCAUGGCAAUUUUGGAAGGCUCCGCUUUUCUGCGAGCAACCAGUUGUCCAUGUGUUGCCUUGCUUAGAUUUGCCGAAAUGGCUGAGAACAAACAAAUUGAAGCUUUCGAUGGGUCUCUUGGUUGUCAUCAACCACAAUACUGCUGCAUUACUGCUACUUUAGUGAGACCACCAUUUACUCAACAAAAUUGGCCUAUGAGACGAUUGCUACAAUCAAGAAAUUUUCGAGCCAGAAACUGCAAGUAUUAUAGUUUUGAGGACCAAAGUGUCAUCUGGAUCAUAGUUUGAGCACCAAAGUGCAAUUUAACCUUAUUUUAUCAAACGAACCAAGGAACAGGCAAUAAUUGUCCAUCUCACCUGCCUGUGGCAGUACUCAAUUGGAACUCAAUUGGAAGGUCUGUUGUUUUGCAGGCAACCUUGUUCCAUCAUUUAUCUUAAAGGUGCAUAAGAAUACACGAUGCCUCUUGAUAUGAUUGAAUGACAGGUCAGAGCCAACUUCUUUCAUACUCUCUUUUGUUAUACUUGUCAAAGGAGGCCGUGAUGAUUGCCACUGGGGAAUGCACCUCAGCUUCUUUAGUCCUUGCUUUUGAUUUUUCGUUGGAGUGCAGAAGCUGACCAAAAUACUAGGUAUAAGAGAGUCAACUCAAACCUGAGACCUUGGUUGGGUUUUGACAGUUCAGGUGGGAUUUGAAUCUGGUUUUUUUUGGUUAUUUUGGUUCUUUUACACCCCUUGAGACGCCUUUGCAUGGUUCAUUUGUUGGAUAGACAGCAUCUCAGUGGAUGGCUUUUGGCUGACAUGAUCACCUGGUGCAGGCUAUAAUUUUUCCUUUCUCAGCAGCUCAUAUGUGACCAACAUUAGGUACCUGUAGCAGGACUUAAAUUGGAAGGUCCACUGUCUUGGAUGCAACCUUUUGCUGUCGUGUCUUUAAGGUGCAGAAAAUUACAAGAUCCCUUGCGAGAUGAUUAAGCGGCAUAUCUGAGCCUCCGUUUUCUUCUCCUACUUUCUUUUUAGCUAUUAGGAUUUGGUGCUACAUUCUUUAUUUUUCCUUUUUUUUCUUUUCCUCCUCUGACCUUCUUACUGCAUGUAGAACCUAGGUGGGUUGUUUUCAAAUAUUCCUUAUCUACUUCCUGAAACAUGACACCAUACUUCAUGCUGGUUGAUGCUAAAUCAUUUAUCCUGUAUGUCUUCAGAUUUGAGGCAACGUGUUAGUCUUUCAGAUUUUGAAAAGAACUAAAAACGGAAUAAAGAUUCGGAUGUUUGGCAUAUAUAUCUGUAUACUUGUAUGCUGAUUCAAAUGUGGGUAUCCAACAUACAUGUGUAUCUACUUUUCCAUCUCUCUUCUUGAUGCCUUGUUGUUGAUGCUGCUGCUGCUGUUGUUAUUAUUAUUAUUAUUUUUGUUAUUAUUAUGGUCGCAGUGGUGGUGGUGGAGGUGGGUGGAGUCUAUCGUCUCUCCACCCCUUCCUAGGGAACCCACGAAACUUUUCUUUUCGGGGUUGACCAAGCCUUCAUUCUUGGUUCUGGUUAUAUACAUACAUACAAACAUUUUGUAUAUAGAGGAAAAAAGAAAAAGAAAGGAAAAAAAAAGCAACAAUAACAACGAUACCAAAUGAAGCCUUAAGGUUUCAGUAGUAGGUGCAUGGCAUGGUUAUUUUGGAAGGUUCUGCUUUUCUGAGAGCAACCAAUUUUCCAUGUGUUGUCUUGCUUAGACUUGCCGAAAUGGCUGAGAACAAACAAAUUGAAGCUUUCGCUGGGUAUCUUGGGAUGUCAUCAACCAUAAUACUGCUAUGGUAGUGAGACAUCACCAUUUACUCGACCAAAUUGGCCUGCGAGACGAUUGCAACAAUCAAGAAAGUUCAAGCCAGAAAUUGCCAGUAUUAUAUUUUUGAGGACCAAAUUGUCAUCUGCCUCAUAGUUUGAGCACCAAAAGUGUAAUUUAGCCUUAUUUUGUCUAACAAACCACAGACACAAAACAGGCAAUAAUUUUCCUAUUUCACCUAUGUAAUACACUGGAUCUUAGCAAAUUGCAAGAUUCGAGUGUUUGAUCUGUGUGUGGAGCCUUUCCACAGUUUUUGGAGGGUCGUUGAUAGUGUUCCGACCCCUGGCACGCACCCCGAGGAUGUUGGUUUGAGACUUGGCACCAAAAUUUCAAAAUUGAAAUUUUUAGUCAGCUCUCGGAUAGCCUGCAGCAGAGCUUGUACCGGAACAAGAUUGGUCUUGUACCGGUACAAGGUUGAUGGUUGUACCGGUACAGCCAUCGGGCUUGUACCGGUACAGAGCCGCAGACUCCGCAACCCGAGCCUCGGGUUUGCAUUUUCGCAGGGCUUGUACCGGUACAAGGGCCCGUGUACCGGUACAAGGUGGCUGAUUGUGUGCAGUUUGAUACUGCAGGGGGUUUUUCGCGAUUGUAGCCUAUCUAUAUCAGCCCCCACGCCUUUAGGGACUCUCCCUGAGCUGAGACCAGCAGGAGUUGAGGUAGGAGGAACUCUCUUCUUUCCUUUGCAUUUUUACUCCUUUUGCUUGGUUUUUAUUGGAUUUUCUCUCCUCUAUUUGCAUCUUGGUGGCUUCUCCACCAUUGUUGAUGGCUUAAAGCUUGGAGAGGAGCUAGUGGCCGCGGAGAUCUUCAACGUCACUUGGAUUGGAGCUAAGUUUGGAACUUCUUGAGAGGUCAGAGACUUGAUUUCUCCCUUUGAUCCUUGAUUUGAGGUUUUUGUGAGAUCAAACCCUAGAAAUGAAAAUUUAGGGUUUAUUUGGGCAUUUUCGUUUUAGGGCUUUUGAGGCUCAAUCUCUUGGAUUAGAGCCUUCCUCUAGGGUAGAUUGGAGGGGUUCUAACUCUCAUUUGGAGCUUGAGAGGAGAUCUUUGCAUUUGAGGUGAGUUUUCCUCACCUAUGCUUGCAUAGCUUAUAGAUUGAGCUUAGCAUCAUUCGUUUCAUUUAGGUGACACUUGUUUUCAUACCUCUAGGAUACUAGGAGGUUAGAGGACACCUUCGUCGGAGCAAACGAAGGGCUUCGUUUACCGUUGGUGGUUUUGACUUCAUGAAAACGGGGCGAAAUGGCCCCUAUGCCUCCUAAACUCUUCGUAAAGUAUUUUUAAAUUCAUUUCUAUGCUAAAUAGAAUUUAUAUGAAUUUUUGAGCACUUAAAAUGCAUGCCUUGUGUAUUAUGAAGAAUUUCACUAUAUAGUAGAGCUAUAUGAGUAGAAUGCAUGCAUACGGGAAAAGUGUUUAUUUUGCAAGUGGAAAAUACAUCUCUUAUGAGGAGUAUGACUUGGGACAUGUACUUUGGAACAUAGUUGCCAUGCUUGGACAUAGAGAACAAGAGUGUCAUCAAGGGGCACUUGAAACUAGUAAACUAUUAAAUUGCAAUAUAGAGACAUAUUGAUAGGCCACUACAUAUCUGCUAUAUUCCAUGUUAGAGACAUGAUGACAUAGAGAUAGGCCACUGAGAUACUUGAUAUAUAUUCCAUGUUGNUUUAGCCUUAUUUUGUCUAACAAACCACAGAACAGGCAAUAAUUUUCCUAUUUCACCUACCUGUGGCAGCACUCAAUUGGAACUCAAUUGGAUGGUCUGCUGUUUUGCAGGCAACCUUGUUCCAUCAUUUAUCUUAAAGGUGCAUAAGAAUACAUGAUGCCUGGAUAUGAUCGGAUGGCAGGUCAGAGCCUCUCUUUCCUUGUGCUUUCCUUUCAGCUAUUAAUAUUUCUCAUGCUGACUGUUCAUAUGUCCUCAUUCUGACCGUAUACUUCAAUCAGACCGGCGCUUAAUGUUUCAUUCAAUCUUAAGGAAGUGUUUCUCCUUCAUUUUACUUGUCAAAGGAGGCUGUGAUGAUUGCCAGUUGGGAAUGCACCUCAACUUCUUUUAUCCUCUCUAUUGAUUCUCGGUGGUGUAAAAGCUGAUCGAAAUACGGGAUAUAGGAGGCAAUAUAGUUAGCUCAAUCCUUAGAUCUUGGUUGUGUUUUGAUAAUUCGGGUGGGAUUUGAAUCCAGUUUGUUGGUUAGUUUUGUCAUUUUGCUUCCCUUGAGAGCCUUUCGCUUCGUUAAUUCGUGGGAUAGACAGCAUCUCAGUGGGUGGCUUUUGGCUGACAUGAUUCACCGGGUGCAGGCAAUAAUUAUUCCUUUCUCAGCAGCUCAUCAGGCCAACAGUAGCUCCUGUAGCAGUAGUUAAAUUGGAAGGUCUGCUGUCUUGCAGGCAACCUUAUGCUGUUCAUAUCUUUAAGGUGCAUAAGAUUACGAGAUCCCGAUCCCUCAUGAGGUGAUUGAAUGGCAAAUCCGAGCCUCCAUUUUAUUCUCCUAGUUCCUUCUUAGUUAUUAAGAUUUAGUGGUACAGUAAUUUUUUUGUAGCUAUUAAUAUUUAAUGGUACACAAUUUUUCUGUUUUAUCUUUAAUUUCUCAUCCUCUGGCUUUCUUACUGCAUGUAGAAUCUAGGAUGGGUUGUUUCAAACAUUCAUUAUCAAUCCCCUGAAACCCUACUUCGUGCUGGUAGAUGAUGACUAGAUAGAAGUUUGGGGGGUCUAUUUCAAAAUGGUCUAUAGUUGAGGGGAUCUUUAUCCUAUUUAUCCUCUCAAUAUAUCUGAUGGUGAAAAGGUGUUGAUAGUCCCUGUCGUGUCCCAAUACUGUCCCAAUAUUGUGACUUAGUCCUUGAACCUUUUCAAUAACACUCCUCUCUUUCAUCUUUCUUAUAUUCUUGGAAUUUCAUCUCUCCCAUCUCUUUGGUUCAUAUGUUGCAGGCAAAAUCUCUCAUUAGAACUCUGCAUUGUAAUUUAAUUACUAGAGAGGAUUGGCAGGCGCGUGAUCAGUAAUUAGAGGCAGCUCUGGAUGGUCUGCUGUUCUGCAGGCAACCUAGCUUGUACCCAUUUAUCCGGUCAUGGCUGGGGUGGAGGAGGUGGUGGUAGUGAUAAGGAUUGGAUGUAUGUGGGUUCAUAUGAUCCUCUUCUCUGAUUAGGGUAUCACCAUUGCUAUCUUCGCGGCACUCACUUAUUCUCUUGAUCAAAGUUCCUGUAAAGGAUAUCCUUCGUCAUUUACUUCUAUUUCGCAAUUCCUGUUCCUUGAUGUGUUUCGGUAUUUGUGGAAGUUUCUGUUGAUCAUCUUCAAGAGAUGCAGAAUAACCACUUUUGUGGAGUAAAGCUUCUCUCCGCGGUCUUCUGAGAUGUAUACCCAUGAAAUUUUGUGCCUCAGGGUUGAUGAAUGGCUAAAAAUCAAGCUUUUUGAUUUUGAUUGUGCAUUCUUCAUAUGGGUUUAAUUGGUCAGUUAGCUUGGUCCAUUGACACCUCUAAUCUGAGCCAUGCUUCAUUAAUUCAUGGGAUGGAUGACAUUGCCGUUGGUGGUGCAUGUCUGAUCUUGUGCACCGGGUACAGGCCAUAAUUUCUCCUAUCUCUGCAGUCCAUAAGGUCGGCGUUUUGGGGUUCACAUAGCAAUGCUCAAUUGAAAGGUCUGCAUUCUUGCAGGCAACCUUACAAAGUCAUUUGUCUUUAAGGUGCGUAAGACUACAUGAUGCCUCAUGAUAUGAUUGAAUGGCAGAUCUGAGCCUCCCUUUUCUUCUUGUUUCUUUUCAGCUAUUAGGAUUUAUUGUUGUCAUUUUCUUCUUCUCUGUGUUUGUUUCUGCAUGGAGAAGCUAGAUCAUCAAUUCCUAUUCCCUGUACUUUUCAGUGGUUGAUGAUCAGAUUUGAGUUGGUGACUUGGUCGGCUUAUUUCAAGAUGGCCUGUAGUUGAGGGGUCUUCAUACAUUUUACCUUUUUAAUAUGGGUUGGAAUAAGAAUCAGAUAUUAUUUUUCAUCCGAGGCUGGUGAUAUCGGUGACUUUAUCUGAGGAAUAAGAGCUAUUUAUAGUCCCUGUACUAUUCCGAUAUUGUAAUUUGGUCCAAACUACAUCUCCACAACCUUCACUUCGGCACAGGUGUAGUUUCCUAUUAGACCUCUGCAGUGUAAUUCAACCACUACAGAGGUUCCAAGUGUGAUCUAGCAAUGGUGAGGCAGCUAUGGAUGGUCUGCCUUUCCGCAGGCAACCUAGCUGGACCCCUUAAAUCUAAUCAUGAUCUGCCAUGAAGAUAGCAUGCCAGUGUAGCUUCAUCUUUAAGACUCUUCCUCUGUUGAAAGUUUGGAGUGCCAUCUUCGUGGUACAUUUGUUCUCUUGAUCCUGUUAAGAAUACUAGUCCCAUAUUCGAUACUUAAGCUUUUUGGAUUGGUCCGAGACUUUUGGCAUAUCCAACUUCUAGCGAGGGAUAUUUUUAUCUUUUUUUUUUUUUUCAAUUAUUCCAUCUGUCCUUCCUGAUGCCUUUGAUUAUUUGGAGAAGGCGGUAAUGAUUUCUAGCAUGUUGCACAUGAGCUUUCUUCCAAAAUGUUAUGAUUAUUCUAUCCCAGGCUGUAGAAUAUUGAUUUUGCCAAUUGGACGUAGUGGAGGAUGCCGGUCAGCGCGUGUGCGGAGCCUAAAUGAGGUGAAAACGUUUUGGCGCGAAAUGGACGCAAAAACGAAUGAAUAGGGUCAAUCUCUUAUUAUGGAGGACCAAAUCGCAAAUAGACAAAGUUUCGGGCUAAGUUGCAAAAAGGGCAACUUAGUGGAAUUCCACUAAGAGCUCUUAACCUUAUUUUACUGUUCUUUCACUAUUCUGGCCUCCAGUAGACCUAAUGGGAAGAUCGUGGUUAUCGUCGACCGUAUCCACUGGGAACUACUGUUUAGUAGUUCUCACAUCCUUUUGUGGUUUACUUUUGAGGGGUAGGUAUACUGACGGCUGAUCGAGGUGAGGGGGAUCGCGCAGUAGAUACCAUCUCCUACCAGCAUGCCUAGACAUGAGUGGACUACUAGAUAGAGUGCUACUCUGUACUACAUGCAUGUACUGGUGAGGGCCAGGGCUUUUUUUCUUGUACUUUUCUUUUGGGGUUGAGUUUUAUUUGAUAUAGUACAUGAUGUACAGUAGUUUAGUUUGUAGAUAGCGCUCUGAUACUUGUCGUUUGCUUAUUCUGUACUUCAUGUUGAUUCCUGUGUUGUGGAAACUUCUCUAGUGUGACCUCUUGGAAUCCUUUGUCCUGUUCAGUUAUGUUGACGUUUCGUUCAGGCAGGAAAAAACUCUGUUCGUUCGGCGAGUCUGUUGACGUCCCCAUAGGCUUCCGCUGUGGACUUGGGGCGUGACACAGGCUUCCUGAGAUUCAAAGUUUGAAACCCUUGAAAUACUGCUUUAGGUUUCAAAUCUUGGAAGGCUCUGCUUUUCCAGCAGGCAACCAGUUUUGCAUUCAGGGUUCAACCCGUUUUUUCGAAAUUUUUUUUUUUUUUCCCAUAUUAUAUCAUUUCUGACAAAAAGGUUGUAUCCAGUAUUUGAUUUGUGUCCCCAGCUAAGCACUCAUGGUUUCCAACACUGCUCUCCGUUGAAUGUUUGUAUUUGAAUUUGUACUUGGAGAAGUAUGGAAAUAGUCAGUUGCUAUCUGAACAAUAUCCGACCCAUUUUCAUCCCUAGUUAUGUGACAGGUAGUGAUCCUAGUAGAGUCUAGAGACACUGAAGAAGAGAUAUAGUCGUUUCUCACCCUCUAUCAGCGUCUAGAGAGUCUAGAGAGUAAGAGGGAAUCGUUAUCCUGAAAUUUCUUUCCUAAUGUCCAUAUCAGUGUCUCUUUACGUUUUAAUCUUUCUGCUGUGGAAAUCUUAUUUUAGAUUGCUUUACUUCGCUUUCUCGUAUGUCCUGCAUCUAGGUAAUCUUCUUAAUCUAUGUUGUUAGAGCCUUCUUGACUGUCUCUUCUCUCUCUACUUGGGUUCAUCCAUUAACCAGAUAGAAUUGUCCUCUUCUUUUUCUGCAGAAUGUGUUUACCUAAACUAUGAACAAAUGAUAUACAUUUUUUUGUUUUUUCAAUUGACCUCUGAAUAUUGACUUGGUUUCUUUGAUUAAUUAGUUAGUUCACUGCAGUCGGCUUUUUUUUUUUUUUUUUUUUUUUUUUUUUUUUUUUUGGUUUUUGGUUUAUACAUUCUGUUUCCAGCAUAUUUUUUAUAUUAAUGGCUUUACUGUUUACUGUUUUCUGAAUUAGUAUUUUGCAGUUGACAUUUCUCUCGUAUUCCCGUUUCUUUUUAUUAUUUUUGUUAUUAUUGUACCGUUUUGUGUUCUUUCAACAUGCUUGUACAUCUUUCUUCUCUUAUUCUUCUAAUCCCUAGCUACCAUUUUACCAUUGAACCCUGAAUUCUAAACCCUUGGGACAUUGUUUGGUUCAUAAGUGGAGUGAGAAUGGAAAAUAGAAUGACAAACCAUCAACGAAUGUUUGAUUCAUUAUUGACCAAAAUAGUUGUAUAAUUAGGAGGUUCACUUAGAGAGCGGGGGUGUACCGAGUUAUUUAAUAAAAUAUAGUAGAGGACCUACUCGGCAAAAAUAAUAGUUUACGCAGUUAUUUGCAAAAUAACUAAAUUUUAAUUUUUAGGAUGUCUCUGAACAUUUUUUUUUCCUUUAUGAUUUUUUUUUUUUGGCAAUGUUAACUCUACAACGCACCCGUUUUAGACUGUAGAUCUUAUAACUAGAUUAUCCAAAAAGAUAAUCAACUUUGUGCCCUUAAAAAAGAGCUAAUUUCCUCUGUAGCUUUAAAAAAUUAAUAAUUUUUCAUUUACCUUUUAUUUCGAAAAUAUACUCCCGAAAAGAAAAAUUUACAUGCUCCUUUAAAUAUUUGAAAGAAGGAUCAGGUAAAUAUGAAAUUAAUUUUGUAUUGAGGCGUAUAUGAGUAGUGAUAUUAAUGAACACUAAUGUGAUAAUUUUUGUUGAAUUAAUGUUAAAAGUUAAUUAAAAUAAAUAUUACAGAAAAGAAGUUUAGGAGAAAAACCAAAAAUAGGAAAUUACUCCAAAAAUCUCAAAGAAGGAAAAGGAAGGUAAGGAUGUUGUUUCAAAAUAGCUAUUAUUGAGGAGUCUCGACGCUUUUUUGUAUUUGAAAUCAAUGAUUUAAGUGUCUUGGCACGGGAUCGUGCGGAAAUUUGCCGGCACGAUAUGUGCCGAGCCGUGCCGAUGCGUGUCGGUCAAAAAAAUUCUUGCAUGCCGACACAUGGCAACAUGAAAUAUUUAUUUUCUUUAGUAACAAAAUAUUUUAACUAUUUAUUAUAUUUUUUUAUCACAUCUUUUGAACUUUAUUGAGGAAAUUAUUUACUAAUUUAAAGAAUAUAGGGUUUUUAGCUGUGCCAUCGGCACGGGAUCUGUAUCGUGCCGGUAUCUUGUUGGUGCGAUAUGGCACGGUGGAAACGGCCCGUGCCGACGGGUACUUAAAAUCUAGUUCGAAAUGCUGAGUGCACAUGCGGUUGUUACAAAUUAUUUAUAAUUACAAUGUUUUCCACUAUAUCUAAUUAAACAAAUUAUCUAUAUCUAUAUCUCUAUACUUAUACAUUAUUUUCCAUAUAGUCUUGCCACGUAGCGGUCCCUUCUUUAUCUUACCUUCUCCUCUCUUCUCUAAUCACAAUUGUUUCAGCCGCACAAAACCUUUGAUCUUCCAAUCAAUGAACGAUCUUAAACCCACACUCUUCGUUUCCCCACUAAGGAGUUACUAACGCAUUAUUAACUUUAAUAAUUAAUAAUUACGAUGAUCCGCACAAUUAGCACCACUAAAACCCCAUCAUCAUCAUCUCCUCUUUCUCGGAAUCAAAUAUCACACUCUAACAAUGUCCUAUGUUAUAAACCAACUUUUCUAUCUAUUAUUCUUAUUAUUAUUCUCGAACGCGAGGACGAACCCGUCAACGCCAUUCGGGUCGAGCCAUGAUUGUUCAGGCACAUUGUUUGGGUUCAGCGUAUGCUUGGAGUUAGUGGAGGGCGGGGCGAACGGGUCCAAAUCGGGGUUGCUGCUCUGGGUUCGGUCACGUGCUGAGUCGGAGUGUCACGUGCCUCUGUGAGGCCAUACGAGAUAGGCGUACCCGUGAACGUCACCAAAGCUCUCGCUUUGCCCUUGCUUUGUGGGCUCUCCUACACGCCAAUUGUCCUCUGUUACAAAACUAAGAGGUGUAUUUUUUUUUUAUGGUCCAAUUUCACCUGUACAAAUUGCUUUCAUAAGAAAAAAUAAGUAAAAUAAAAUUUUUUUGUACUCUUUUUUUCCCUUUUUUUGGCGCAUAAGAAUGGUUUAUAUUUUGUAAUUUUUUUAAUUUUUUUUAUCUUUUUGUUUUUAAAUUGUAUGUGUACUGAAAUUAGGGUUUUGUGGAUUGUAGAGCAGCAAAGAUAGAUUUGGAGUCAACGAGAGAAAAGAAGUGGAAUCAACGUGGCUGUGACGAAAAGGAGCUCGACAUUGAUAAUGGCGACAAAGGUAAUGUGGAGAUGGGGAUUCGUCUUCCCGAUGUCGGUAGUGAAAUCAAGAUACGUAUGGAGUAAUAAUUCUAUUGCUGCUUCUUUCAUUACUAUUUUUUAUAACUUAUUUAAUGAAAUUAUAAAUUUUGUUACAUUUGUACGUAUAUCUGUUUCAUCUCUUUUAUUUGUAUAUAUGUUAAUAUAUAUUAUUUUUAUUUAUUAAUGUCUUAUGACAAUUCAAAAAAUUUAAAAUUUUUACUUUAUGAAUUUUUUGUCUUUCUAUAGCAUCAAUCCGCCGCAAUGCACGGAUAAUUUCACUAGUAUAUACUUAUAACUGCGGCAUGAGUUGUAAAUCUUAUAUUUCACGAUUUAAAGGCUAAUUGUUACACACUAGUUAUAUCGACAUAAUUUGAUAUAGCUAAUAUGCAGCAUGUAACUCUUAUAAUGAGAUGUAAAAUGUAUACCCAGCUUUUGAGUUUACAGAUUUGUUUGUUAAUUCGCGAAUUAUUCACGAAUUAUUAAAAAUUCAAAUUAAACGGUCCGUUUACGAAUUUUUUUCAAAAAAAAAAAUUAUUAGCGAAUUUUUUGGCCAGCCGAAUAAUUCGCAAAUUAUUUUCGAAUUAUUGAAAAUUUAAAUAAAAAACUUAUAAUUUUUAUGUUUAAAUAUAGAUUAUCUUAUAUUUUAUAUAAAUAUGAGUUCUCUGUUCAUUCUCCCCCCCAAAAAAAAUAUUUAUAUAUAUUUUAUAAUUAAUAAUGGGCUAUUUUAAUCUAUUUCUUGCUUGAUUGUUUAUAUACCAUAGUGUAUAAUAUAAUUCUCUAUAGUUUUUUUUUUUAUUUAAUCUACUUUAUUUUGUAGCUUUUUAUUCUUAGAAUUGUAAAUGUUUACAAUAGUAGUAUAAAUCUAGAAAAAAAAUUGAAGUUUAAUAGGCAAAUUUUUUAUCCCGAAUUUUUAAUUGAUGAACGUAUAAUUUUCGUAUAAAUCACGUAUCCGAAUAAUUACCAAAUCCAUUUUUUAAGUCGAAUUUUUUAACAAAUUAAAAAAAUUAAAAAACGAAUUUUAUACGUAUUAUAACCGUACCGAAUUUUUUCCGAAUCCGAAUUAACUAACUAUGGUUUAAAGGUAGCAAUGCUCUUUUCAUACAUCCUACUUUCGUUUGAUUUAGCCCAUUUUCUAGUAAUACAAUAAAUCCUUCUAGAAAAUAACUUGGAACUAUAUUACAUUUUAAGAGAGUCUGAGACUUAUGCUGGGUUUAUUCCGAAAAAGUUAAAUUGGAGGUUUGGGUUUCAAAACUAUUGAACCUUCUUUUCAAAACAACUUAGAAUAUUUUAGGUAAAGAUAAUACUCUUGUUUUUGAAUUUACAAUAUCAUGUUUUCAUUCUUUAGAAUUUUUUUUUUCAUCGGUCAACUUUGUUUAUUUAAUGUACCCAAAAAUAAUCUUUGAAAAAUAUAAAAUAUGGUAUGUCAUAUUUGACAGUUGUUGACAUGAACGCAUUCUUAAUUGAAAACGAGUUUAUUUCAGUUCAUUAAAAAUUGCUCAAUCUUACAAUCUUUGUGUUAUUCUAUCAUGAAUUCAACUUUGGAGUUAUUUUAUCAUGAGAUUGUUCUGAUUAACUUUUGCUUUUAUUGUUAUCCAUAUUAAUAUUCACAUUUAUUAAUUUCCUCUAUGAAAGUCUUAGAAAAGAGAAAUUUCGCACUUUCUUUACUCUGAGACAUUUUAUUUAGAUAUUUACAAGCAAAUAUACAUUAAGGGUGUGUUUGGUUCGCAUUAUGAAAGAUAACUAGGAAUAAAAGAUAUCCUAGAAUUUUAUUCCUAUUCAUCCUAUUACUAAGAAUGUGGAAUUCAUGUGUUUGGUUUGCACGGUAAUAUUAAUUAGCCAUAUUAUUUAAUAUUACAAAAAAUAUACAAUUUAUUUAUUUAUUUAUUUAUUUAAUUUUAGAUAAUGUUACCAAAAAUUUCAACAUCUUUUUAGAAAAAAAGAAGAGAGAGUAUAAAUUAGAGAGAGAGCGCAUAAUUAAAAAAAUAGAAAGAAAAAUAUAGUCGAAAUUAGAGGAAGUGAGAGAGUUGAAAUUUUAGAAAAAGAGAGAGAGAGCAAGCUUAGUUUAGAGAGAGAAAAAAAAGUUGAAUUUUAGAGAGAAAAAUAAGUUUAGAGAGAGAUAUAAUGUUAGAGUAUAAAAAAAAAUAAUAUCAAUUAGCCGGCGGAUAGGAAGAAAGAAAGAGAUUAGACAUAUUAUGAUUACCUCAAUCCAUUAAUAAAAGGAUAUCCAUCCUCCUCAAGGGAAUGAGAUUAGUACUUUGGGGUGAAUCUUAUUCCUAAGUGAAUCCAAUAUUACCAACUAGAUUACUUAGUGCGUUUAGCCAAACACUGUCAUAUUUUUUUAUUCCCAUUGGAUUACUAGGAAUCUUUAAAACAUAGCGCGAACCAAACGCACCCUAAGAUUAUUGCACUAACAUUGGGUACAUUAAACUUGAUAGAAUACUUUUCUACUACUUUACUCUUAGAACUAGUUGAAAUCUAAUUGACCAAAUCCUAAUUGUUUUAGAUUGAUGGGCCUGGUUGCAAUUCAAAUAAAUUUGUAGAAUACUUUUGUUUAUUUUAUGUCCUGCUCUGAUGGGAUAUUUACUAGUGAUGUGCAACAAUUUUGGAAUAUCUAACUACAACUAUGGAUUCAGACUGACUUGUGUCCAGUUAUGGGUCAGAACUGUUUUGGGUUUUGAUUUUGUGUCUAACUAUGUAUCAAAACUUAACUGGGUCUUAGCUUUAGAUCUGAUUUUUGAGUCUAAUUAUGGGUCAAAACUAAAUUUGCCUUUGAUUUCUGAUCUACUUAUGGAUCAGAAUAAAUUAUAAUUACAUCUAAUUAAGAUUUGAAUGAUUCUAAUAAACGGCCAGAACUGAAAAAGCACUAGUUAUGAGUCUAAUUAGUUAGAGAUUUUACUUAAUGAGAAUCCUAUUUUGCUAAAACUAAGUUAGUGUUUUUCACCUUCUUUAUUCGAAUAAUAAGAUUAUUCUCUAUGAUUUGAAAGCCUAUAUAUUAGCAAAUUAAACAAAGAAAUAAAAAAUUAUAUAAAACAUUACAUAUAAUAAUAAAAUUCUUUCACAUCAAUAUAUAUUGUUUAAAACAAAUUUCACAUACAAAUAAUAUACUAAAUAUGCAUAUUCCACAAAUUAAAAAAACUAAUUAUUUUCAACUACGUAUGCGCCAAUUGCUAUUGCCAUGCGACUCAAAAGUUCGCGCUUUACUUUUGCAUAGCCGUCCGUUCCCCAAUGACUACCCCAAGAGUUUUUUAUCAAAUAAUAUUUGACGUCGUUUUCUACACCGUAUCCAACUAUAGUCACGGAGUGGCUCCCUCGUUUUUUUUCUCCAACAUGAGGACCCAUAUACACAACCUACAUGGAAAAAAAAAAUAGUCAUUAUCAAAUUAAAAAAAGGUCAUUAUCAAAUAUUAUAUUAUCAAAAGUUAAUUAAAAUUUAUAAGUAUUAGCAUAUAAAAAAUUAUUCAUUAUUAAAUAUUAUAUAUCAAAACUUAAAUUUAUAAAUACUAACAUCUCUCGGUAGAUGAGUAAAGCUGUUAUAUAUGUUUAUGGCAGCAGCAAUAGGUCGUUCUCUCAAAAUUUCUUCGAUUUCUCCCUCAUUAUGUCUUCUUUCCAAUUUGCUCUGAAAAUCUUGAAUCUUCACUCUCUGCUUCUUCUGUAAAAAAUAUUUAAAAUUAUCCAAUAAUUAAUAGAUGUAUUAAUACUAAAUAAGUUUUUUUAGUGUAUAAGUUAACUUACAUCUUCAUUCAUUUGACAAUAUUGGCGUCGUGCAACAUAUGGAUUAUCAGCUUCCAUGGCAAUACCAUAUGUUUUGAUGUACUCUAAACACUUGCUAUGUGUGCACUGUAUACAUCCAACGGCGUCUAUAUGUUGUUCACGGGAAGAUGGAUACAUUUCAUGAUAACAGUUUACUAGCUCUUGUUUUGAUAAUUCAAUGAGUUGACCAUACUUUUUUGCAUAUUCUGCUUCAACUAAAGUGGUGGAAGAAAAGGCAUAGCAACAUUCUUCGUAUAAUUCAUUAAAGAAAAAAAACAUUAGUUAAUAAAACAAUAAUGAAUUGUAUUAAUCUCUACAAAAAAUCAUUCUAUUAAGUAUACUUACGACACUCUCUUUGAUUUCCUACGUCCUCCCGAAUUAUAUUAAUUGGCUUGUCGUAAAUCAAAAGAUGCCUAUCAUAUUAAAACAAAGAUAUGAAAAUGAGAAUUAAGAAAAUAAGUAAUUUCUAUAUAUCAAAUAAAAAGUAUAAUCUAUGAUAAUUUUUGUUAUUUGAUAACUUUUUUAUUGGAAAAUUAGGAUAUUCGCUUAUUUUAACGAACUUAGUUUAUUUUACAAAAUUCAUUUGCAAAUAGCUCGAGGUAAAUUAAUUAAAGAAAAUUUAGUAGAAUUAAAAUUAUUAAAAUAUUAGUUGGUAAAUCAAAACUUAAACUAGAUUAAAACUAAUCCUAUUUUAAAUAGGUUUCAUAUAUAUAUAUAUAUAGCUAACGACUCAAAAUUCUUUUGAGUUAUUACCAUGUUAGUGUGGGUUGCGAGGUGGAGUUAGAAACAGACCCAAUAAAAAUAAUCUUAUCUAUCAAAAAAAUGCACUAUAUAAUUUACAAAGUGCAUGGUUAUGUGGGAGUGAGAUUCUCUUCUCACACUUUCAUUGGAUAAAAAUGUGUGAAAGUACUAUUAUACAUGAGAUUUGCAUUGAUACUUUGGCAGCCAGACUAACUAAAUUUAAAUUAUAUUAAUUACCUAAGGUCUCGUUUGGCAUGCAUUGUUGCUGGUUAUAAGAUUAUCAAGAAAAUGCACUUUGUGAUUUACAAAGUAGUUCAAUGUGGGAGAGAGGUUCUCUUCUCACACUUUUAUUGGAUAAAAAUGUGUGAAGUACUAUUAUACAUGAGAUUUGCAUUGAUACUUUAGUGACAAACUAAUGAAACUUAAAUUAAUUAAUUAAGUAAGGUCUUGUUUGGCAUGAAUUGUUGCUUCUCGUUUGGCAUGCAUUAAUUUGUUGCUAGUUUUUACUUUCUUAAAUAUAUAAAAAUUUUAUGUCAAAAACUAUAAGAUUAAAUGAUGUACUACAUGUAUAUGACUUUUGCAUUGCAAGUUAAACAAAUCAUGAUAAGAAAAGAAAAAUCAUCCUACAGAAAUCAAAUUAAGCAUAUGAAAAUAUAUUGUGUUUGAAAAAAAAAAUUAAAAUAAUAUAAAAUAAAAUCUAAAAUAUUUUACUAUAUGCACCGUCUAAUUGAGUAGCUGAUAAAAUUUAAAGAUAACAAUUUAUCACUACUCUAUAAAAAAAUAAAUAUUUUGAAGAAAAUGUGUAUAAUACUAGCAUUCACGUACGGGAUUUGCAUGGGACCAUGGGUACUUCUCCCACCGUCUAAAUUUGAGUAACUAGAGAUAACUAAAGAAUACACAUGCACGUUAACUACUUAGCUUGAGUUAAUUGAGUGAGCUAUUUUUACGUAUUAGCUAAAUUGGUUCAUGAUUCACUUGUGAGGCCUCUUUGGAGAAAUUGUUGCCUGCAACCAACAUAUAAUGAUGCAUGCAUUAGUGGAAGAAUCUAUGCUUUUAGAUGGAUGAGAUGUAUAAGUUGUGAACCUAACAUAUAUAAGUUGCAUUGCUCAUAAAACCAAGUAAUAAUUUCACAAAAAGUUCAAAAAUUGGUAGUACAAUUAAUGUACCUAAUUUUAAAGUUCAAAUGCGCGCACCAGAAUCUUUUAAAAUUUUGCUCAAUCAUCCAAACUUUAAAAGUUUCUUAUUUGUCAUCCAGAACUUUCAAUUCUUUAACAUUUAACUACUUACUUUAUACUUUGUUAAUUUAAACUGACUGACAAUACCUAAAUGGUCAAGAAACAAUAAACAACACAUGCCAAAGCUAUAGAAAGGAAUUUUUUUUUUUUUUUUUUCCAAUGAUGGAAUUUAGUUUUACAGUAAAAAACAUAUUUUUUAUUAUUAACUAUUAAAAAUUAUAGUGAUAUUCUCAGCAAAAGAAAUAUUAAUGAAGUGUGUUUUUUUUUUUUAUUAUUUCUUGAUCAUUUGGCUAAUUAAUAUUAUAGAAACCUUAAAUAUACAAAAUAUUGGAAAUACGUUCUAGGUGAUAAAUAUAUAAUUUCUGUAGUUACAGAUGGUUAUGUGCAUCAGACUGAAAGUGGAAGUGCAAUCAACCCCUAUUUUCAGACCAAACUUUCCAUGAAUAAAUAGAUAGUUUUAAAAUUUUUACAGUAGUAGUACAUCCAUAUAUACUAGUUAAGGACCCAUGCGAAUGCCGCGAUAUAAAAUAUUCUAAUCAUAAAAUUUAGUUAAUUUUUAUUUUUUAUAAAAAUUUAUUAGCUUGUUUUUUUAAUUAAAUAAGUAAUAAUUAAAUUAAUUUAAAUAAAAAUAACUUAAGUUAGUACAUAUACGACAUAAAUUUUUAUAUUAGAUUAUUAGUGAUCAUCUCGUUAAUAACUACAAAUGUAUAAGUGAAUGUGUUAAAUUAUUAAGCUAAUUACAACACAAUUUAUUAUUUUGUAAAGGUAUGUGUAUCAACUAGGAUUCAAACUAGGAACUUCGGGUAUCAAGUAACAAGUCAUUUGCUGCUUGCGCUAGGGACGGUCGAUAAUGACCUCUCAUAGUUGAAGAGGAGAGUUAGGGUGACACAUGUUUUAUGUGCUUUCCUUAACUCUCCUUUCAGAUAUUACUGGUGAAGGCAUCCACAUGUUACAGUGGAUUGGUACGGCAGAAAUAAAUAAAUAAAUAAAGCUAAAGAAAGAAAAAAUAAUAAAAAAAAGAGUCAAAGAAUAAAAAUAAAAACAAACUAAAAAAGAAGCAGCAACUAUUGCAGUAAAAGUAUAAGAAUAAAAGUAUAAGAAAAGUAAUAAAAAAAAAAAAAGAAUAAAGGCAAAAUAAUAAGAAUAAUAAAUUCAAUUUAUAGCAUCAGUGAAAGUUGAGAAUUAAAAUGUCAUAUGCCUGAGAGUUUGAUUCAGAAAUUGUAACUAAUUAAAGCUUGAGAACUAAUAAUUUGAGCAAGAAAUAAUAAAGCAUUAAAGUUUGAAAAUUAAAGUAUUACGGAUUCUAUAAUUUGAGUAAGAAUUAAUAGCGGCCAUUUGAUAAUCGCCGUUAUCAAAUUAUCGCUAAAUUAUUAUUUUAUUGUAGUGACUGUACUCAUAUAUUUUGUCUUGAAUGAGAAUUCUUUUUAUUUUGGAAGGAUGUUGCAUUCGAUGUGCGAAAAAAUUUCGAGCCCGCUAAUCCCGUGGCGCGUCUUGCCACUCUGGCUCGUUGCCGUCACAUCCUGUCGAGGGAACAAGAAACCGGCAGAUCGCGGAGUUUGCCCACUUUCUCUUUCUCCCUUUCUCCCUAUCUGACUAUUAGGGGUGGAAACGAGCCGAGCUCGAGCGAGCUUAUGUCAGCUGCCGAGCAAGCUUAAUCCGAGCUUUUCGAGCUUAUAUAUAUAUACAUAUAUAUAUCAUCCCGAUAACACGAUAAUCCUCGUGUUGUUUGGAACACAAGGAUUCAAGAAUUGACAGGUAGUUUAAACUAACUACCAAUCCCACUUUCUCUCUUCUCUUUAACUUCUUUUCUUUAAAAGAAGUUAAAGAGAAGAGAGAAAGUGGGAUUGGUGGGUAGUUUAAACUACCCGCCAACUCUUGAAUCCUCGUGUUCCCAUCGGGAUGAGAUAUAUAUAUAUAUAUAUAUAUAUAUAUAUAUAUAUAUUACAUAAAAUUAAUAUAUAUCCAAAAUUAAAUUAAACCCGACAAUAACAACCGAGUAUUUUAUUUGGGUUGUUCAUGUUGGCACGUUAACUCGGGUUGAGUGUUAAAUAUAUUGUGUGAGAGAAAAAGUCUGAAAGUGACAACGUGUAUUGGGAUUUUGCACUAUUGUAAGUUUAAAGGUUUAGGGAUUAAAAAAAGGGGGGGAGAGAGAGAGAAGAGAGAGAGAGUCUGGGAGUGGGUCAAUCCGCCAGUGGGAUCGAGUGUAAAGAACGUUAAUAAAAUAUAAAACUUGAUAACCUGUACAACGUAGUUUAACAUCCAUUACAAGAUAUUUUUAAUUUGAUGACUAAUAUAUUACAGUUCUUAAAGUUAGCCGAGCAAAUCUCGAGCUCGAGCCGAGCUGAGCUUUAAUCCGAGCGAGCUCGAGCGGAGCUUAAUUAAAGUUCAGCUCGAACUCGGAUCUAAAUCCGAGCCUUAAUUAAAGUUCGGCUUAAACNCUCUCCCCCUCUCUCUCGCACGCCACUCUCUCUCUCUCUCUCUCUCUCUCUCUCGCACGAACACCUAUCAUCUUCUAUUGCGCCGUCCUCCCAGGUAAUCAUCACGAUCUCCUUCCCUCCAUUCGUCAUUUCUGUAAAAAAUAAUAUUCAAAUGACCACAACAAGGGUAAUUUUGAAAAAAACUAUACUUUUAUGUCAGGAUUACUAAAUUUUAUAAACUGAACCAAACGUAUUAAUGCUAUAAACACUGUAAUCUAAUAUUACAUUACUGAAUUAAACCAAACGUACUAAUACAGCAUCAGUAGUAAUCUCACGCCGAAAUUCAAGAUACUUGGAUAUGUCGAGAUACUUUGUAAUAUUACAUAACUCGAACCAAACGGGCCCUUAAUAUAAUCAUUCUUCUUCUUUUGCUAUUGUCGUUAUUUUUUUGUUUCGUCUUUUUUCUUCUAAUAACUUUGUUAUUAUUGUUGUUCUUGCUGGUUCUUCUUCUUGGUUCUUCUUCUUUAGCUUCUUUUUUUAUUUUUUUAUAUUUUUACUGCUACUAUAAAUAUAUUUAUUAUUCUUAUGUUUGUGUCUUUAUUCUUUUUUCAUUUCUUUUAUAUUUAUUAUUCUUAUGUUUGUGUCUUUAUUCUUUUUUCAUUUCUUUUUAUGCUUUUAUUCUUAUAUUUUAUUGCACCACCUGUUGCUGCUGCUGCUUCUUCUUCAACUAUUACUUUUUUUCUAAUUCUUUAGUUUCUUUAAAUUUUUUUAUGUUCUUAUUGUUUUUUUCCUUCGGUUUUUUUCUUAUUUAUUUGUCUCCACAUAACUGACUUCCCGCAACGCGCCGGUGUCUUCACUAGUUUUACAAUACCAGCUAGUCUACUACAGACCGUAACCCAAGAACAACUUUUAUAACUUGAGCUCUCUAUAUUACUCUUCAGAUUUGCUAGAAUUCAACUCUUUAAGAGCAGACAACUUAGCAUGCCAUCAAAAUAUCUAGUUUAAUGAUCCGCGUUUUGUCGAUGUCAUAGAUUUCUUUGCAUAAAUACAUGCUUAAUCUGAAAGCGAUAACUUAAUCAAACGAUUUAGUAAUCCAUCAUUCCCAAUUUAAAGAAACCAAAGUUGAUAAAUCUAGUGGAUUAGAAUGGAUUGUCAAACAUGGCCUUCAAAUAAUUAGCUGCAAUAGUUAGGAAAUGCGCGAUAAGAUUGGCAAAGCACAAAACAAACAGCGAGCGAUUUUGUAUCCACUAAACUCCUCUAAAGCUGAUCUAGCUAUUAUGUCCAGAUGAUACAAUUUGGAACUCAGAAUAUGGCAUGUAAAAACAGUUUUCCUAGGGUAAUAAGGUUAACAUGCAAUGGCUAGUAUAACUCAAUUCUUAAUUCUUCACUUAACAACUUGGGACUAACGAAUUUGUCCAGGUCUAAAUCAACAAACCAGAAUUUAGACCGUGCGCAUUUCAAUUUCCGCAACUUGGACCAUUUGUGAACGACAGAGUCGUGCGCGAACAUGUUUGCUUCACAUUAUCAGUUGUUUGGUCGAGAUCUCAGCUGGAAAGUGCAUCUAUAAAGAUAGCANUUAUUCUUUUUUCAUUUCUUUUUAUGCUUUUGUUCUUAUAUUUUAUUGCACCACCUGUUGCUGCUGCUGCUUCUUCUUCAACUAUUACUUUUUUCUAAUUCUUUAGUUUCUUUAAAUUUUUUUAUGUUCUUAUUGUUUUUUUCCUUCGGUUUUUUUCUUAUUUAUUUGUCUCCACAUAACUGACUUCCCGCAACGCGCCGGUGUCUUCACUAGUUUUACAAUACCAGCCCAAGAACAACUUUUAUAACUUGAGCUCUCUAUAUUACUCUUCAGAUUUGCUAUAAUUCAACUCUUUAAGAGCAGACAAUUUAGCAUGCCAUCAAAAUAUCUAGUUUAAUGAUCCGCGUUUUGUCGAUGUCAUAGAUUUCUUUGCAUAAAUACAUGCUUAAUCUGAAAGCCAUAACUGAAUCAAACGAUUUAGUAAUCCAUCAUUCCCAAUUUAAAGAAACCAAAGUUGAUAAAUCUAGUGGAUUAGAAUGGAUUGUCAAACACGGCCUUCAAAUAAUUAGCUGCAAUAGUUAGGAAAUGCGCGAUAAGAUUGGCAAAGCACAAAACAAACAGCAAGCGAUUUUGUAUCCACUAAACUCCUCUAAAGCUGAUCUAGCUAUUAUGUCCAGAUGAUACAAUUUGGAACUCAGAAUAUGGCGUGUAAAAACAGUUUUCCUAGGGUAAUAAGGUUAACAUGCAAUGGCUAGUAUAAUUCAAUUCUUAAUUCUUCACUUAACAACUUGGGACUAACUAAUUUCUUACAAUGUCAUCCUUAAGCAGGAAGAAUUUGUCCAGGUCUAAAUCAACAAACCAGAAUUUAGACCGUGCGCAUUUCAAUUUCCGCAACUUGGACCAUUUGUGAACGACAGAGUCGUGCGCUAACAUGUUUGCUUCACAUUAUCAGUUGUUUGGUCGAGAUCUCAGCUGGAAAGUGCAUCUAUAAAGAUAGCACAGAGAGACAUUAGGUAGGCCAACAAAAUCUGCUUAACUGAAAAUUUGGAGGGCAAAGUAAAUAUCUACCAAACAUGAAGUGAUUACCCCCUAUUCUUUCUAAUUCAUAGUACAAUUCAGACAUGAGAUCUCUUAUUUCUUGCAACAGCUAAAGCCUAUUUCUGCCAAAUAUAAAACUGCAGUACAGUUUGGCCCAAAUAUCUCUUUCAAUUGCCAAAAAAUCAACAAAGAUUAACACUGUAAGUCAUAAAAUUGUUAGAUUACCUCAAACUUGGAAUGCAUUUGGUUCUGAACGACAAUCUAUUAGCGGCAAAGCAUCAAUGGUAAAGCAGCAACCAGGAGAAGAACAGAAUUAUAAAUGACACCUUAAGAUUCUAGAAUUCGCAAACCAUGUACCUUGAAAUUAAACUGAACCAUCAUCAAAGACCAGAAGCAACUCCAUCUACGAGAAAUAAACCUUCCAAAUUGCCCUACCGUUCAAACCUUUAUAUAUGGAUUGGAUCGAAGAACAGGGAAUAAAAAUGCAGAGUUUCCAAGAUCCACAUUUAAUUAACUGUUUGUUUAGCAUGACCAUUUUCUCUAUUGCAAGAAGCAAACAACAGCAUUUGAAACAGGAAAAGCCCUCGUCUUUUUCUAUGGCAGCAAACUGAAAUAAAAUUUCAUUGACUUGUCUGUCUCCAAGAACUAAGUAGGAUUUAUUUCUCACAAAUAUAAAGGCAAACAAGCAAACUCAAUAUAUUGUUAUAUUUCAACUGCCUUUCAGACAAAUACCAGUCAAAAAUUAGUAGAAGCCAAUACCACUUAGAAUAUAAGGGCAACAUAUUUGCAUAAGGUAUGUGUUUUACACUACAAAGUUUUGUAUCUCACACCGAACCCUACAAGUAGAUAAAUUUGACUCUUCACGAGAGCACCAACAAACUCCCAUAUUCAGGAAAAGUAGCAUCUUUUAUUUGUUAAAGCAAAGAUAAGAAGAUAAAAUGCUACAAUAUAACUUGUUAAAGCCUCCAAAGUACUAACAUCAAUAACUAAGAACUUAAAAUAAAGAAAAACCAGCAAUCAAAAUAUAUAUAUAUAUAUAUAUAUAUAUAUAUAUAUUUCCCACCAUUAUGCACGACCAAACAGCACCUGAAUGGCGAAGCAGCCUGGUGUAGAGCAUGACAUUCGGCCUACAAAGCAAAUAAGGAAACAUCUAGUUGUGUUAUUGCAAAGAGACAGAAAAUUUAAACAAACAAGUAUUGCUAAUUAUAUUUCAUUAAUUAGCAUAAUCAUAUAAAGAUAACAUGGAGCAUGUUAUCCAACACUUUAUUAGGAAUACUCUCAGGAAGCAUUAGAAACUAUUCUGCAACAAUUGAUAUGCAAGAAAUAAUUAGCAUCUCUUCCUGAAUCUUAUGAGAAUCAGUAAAAGAUAUAGUCCUCCUAACAAUUCAAAAGCCUCAUCCAAAUUCCUAAUUUUACAAGUCCAAGAAGUUACCAAUUUGGACAAAUAUAUAGCUAGCUAAUGUCGUAGCUGAAAUUUUUUUUCAUUAAAAAAAUUAGCACAAUGAGGAAAAAAUAAAAACUUAACAUAAAACAAAGUUGAACAUUGAUGUAACUAAGCAUUGGAAGUAGAAAUACAAGACGAACAGAAUAAAUAAUUUUAGCAUAGGAAACCUCAUUCUCCUUUUCUACAACAUAUCGCAUGACGCAUGGUUUUCAAGUUAGACAACAGAUAUCGAAUUAAAUAACAAAUGCUCUAAUUAAUUUAAGUACUAUAUACACAAACUAUGACCUAACUAUACAAACAAAUAAAUAAAAAUAUACCUUUACUAACUCGCAGUUGGCUUGAGUCUACAAAGAGCAACUCUAAUGUUACGUUGCACCCCAUAAAACACCUUCGCCUGGAAGAUUUUCCACUCAGCUUCACUGUCAACUGCUUGGAAGGUAACAUAGUACCAAAGUCCUGCUGCGACACUACACGUUGCCUUCUCUAUUUUUACAAACACAUAACUCAUAUCCUACAUUACGAAAACAUCACGAAAUCAAUUUUAUCAAAAAAAAAAAAAAAAAAAAAAAAAACACACAAAGAAAUAAACAAUAAGAAAAGACAUACACAAGGCAACAUGAACAUACAUUUUCCUUAUUAAAAUGUUCGAUUGCCAAUUUAGUACAUCUGAGAAGAAUUUCAUCAUCAAAAUCCGUGAUCGCCGUAAGGCCAAACUCACAAGUGCCUGGAAAUGGAUCAACAUCGAAUCCCUGUAAAAGACAUGUAUUAACAAUUAGUGAAAAAAAGGUUAUGAAACUUUAACUCUCAAAAAGAAGACAAUAAUUAUUAAACACCUCGCUUUCCUUGAUUUGUUUGUAAUAUCUGUCCCAUUCUUCGCGAGUCCUACUGCGAUUACCAUUAGGCCAAACAUAAACCUCAUCUUCCUCUGAAGUAUGCUCAUAAACCCUUUGAUCCUUCUCGUUCCCUUUCUCUUCCUCCAUUUCACUUUGGGUAUCUUCCUCCUUGCCCUCUUCCCUCAUCUCUUCGCUUUCUUCCUGCAGUUUCAACUUCUUCUGCAGCGGCCCUUCAGGUAUCAGGUUCUUGGAAUUCUGCCUGUAUCACAAAAUGAAAUAUAUCUAUCAUAAAAAAUUUAAACAAAUUUCAAUCAAAACUAACGACAAUUUAAAAAAAAAAAAUCUUAAAUUGGCUCAAAUAGAAGAAGAAUUUAGCCGAUGCAUACGAAACAGAGACCAAACAGGGCAUAAUUCAGGUGAUACAUUCCUAGAUUAGGAUUUUCUAAUUACGGAAUAAUAUAUUAUUUAUUUUAAAAUAUUUCAGUUGUUUCCAAUAAAGUGUAAUUAGGGUUAGGUUAUAGAAAUGUGUAUCUUUUAGGGUUUGGAGAAUAAGAAGAAAUUGGUCGUGUUGUUCUCUUCUCCCUUAUCUAUCUUUAUCUCUCUAAUAUCUCUCUCUUUAGGAGGUUCGAUCCCCUCGAAGUGAUCGUUUAUCCCUAUUGAUACUAAUAUCUCUCUCUUUAGGAGGUUCGAUCCCCUCGAAGUGAUCGUUUAUCCCUAUUGAUACUAAUAUCUCUCUCUUUAGGAGGUUCGAUCCCCUCGAGGUGAUCGUUUAUCUCUAUUGAUACAAUACAACGGUAUCAAUUGGCAUCAGAGCCUUGUAUGUAUAGUGUAAACUCCAGCAAAAAAAGAUUUUCUGAAGAAGAUGAAUGGGGAUUUCAUAAGAAAAGAAGAGAUGAACGCUCGGUUUUCCAAUGUGAAGGCCCAACUCAACAAAGUGGAGACCGAGGUAAAGCUCACUAGCGAUUCUAUUAAUGAUCUCAAAAAUUUGAUCAUCCCUAUGAGCACGAAGAUGGAUUUGCAGCCGCAUACGCCAUUUGAAGAUACAUUCGUCUCGAAUUUCGACAAAAAUCAUCCCUUGCUCCCAACUCCUAUUAAGAAGGAAGCAUUGAUCCUAUUCAAAAUGUUCGUGACUAUCAGGCUCGACUCGAAAUGCUUGCCAAUCGCACUUAACAUUUUUCAUAAGUUUCUUGCCAAUCGCACUUAACAUUUUUCAUAAGUUUCUUCAUUAGUGGGCUGAAGGAGGAUCUAAAGUAUAACGUCCGAGCCUUCCGACCAACUUCUAUAUCAGCUGCUAUUGGUCUUGCUCGUCUACAAGAGGAGAAGUUAAUAGCUCAACAUCGUAUUAUGAAGCCUAAGCCUUCCCUUUUGUGCCCUUCCAUGACACCAAUAUCUAAUGAGGCGCUUCCACCCAUAAAGCGCCUUACACCGGCUAAAGCAAAAGUAAGAAGAGAUCAAGGCCUUUUGCUACAAUUGUAUGAAAAAUAGUCCUGGACAUCGAUGAAAAUCAAAGCAACUAUUUUUGAUCGAGGCCGAACGUGAUGAAAACAGAGAAGAUCUAAAGAGGAUAGGCAAAGGUUGAGGAUUUUCCAUCUUGAGGGCAAGGUGGCUAUCGAGGGCGGUGGAAUGACAUAUUCCUAGAUUAGGCUUUUUAAUUAUGGAAUAAUAUAAUAUUUAUUUUAGAACAUUUCAGUUAUUCUCAGUAAAGUGUAACUAGGAUUAGGUUAUAUAGAUGUGUAUCUUCUAGGGUUUGGAGAAAAAAAAAAAUUUGACCGUCUUGUUCUAUCUUCCCUCCCGUUCUCUUCCCUCUUAUCUUAAUCUCUUUAAUAUCUCUCUCUUUAGGAGGUUCGAUCCCCUCGAAGUGAUCGUUUAUCCCUAUCGAUACGGUAGAACCGUAUCAUCAAGCUAAAUUUCGUAAAUAAUUUUUUGGAAGGACUAUUUUUAUAAUUAUAAAAUAUGUUAUAAGUAUAUUAAUAAAAGAAAAGUCAACCAGCCAUCAUAAUCAAAAUAAUCAAAUGCAUAUCAAACGGCACAAACGGCAUUCUAAUCAUUUAUUACAAUCCAAAAUUGAUCAGAGUCAAACACAUAUCAAAAUCGCACAUAAAAAAAAAAGCACAUCCUGACAUAUGUGUACAGAAUAUGGUAACAAACGAGAUGUAUACCUUUGCCAGGUAAAGACAAUCUUCAGGAGAAGCAAGGCCUUCGCGAAUAAAGGCGGUGCGAAGGCACAGGAGAAGGAGACUCAGACUUGCGCUGCAAGUUUUGAUUUUAAUUUAGAGUAAACUUCAAGUCCCAUCCAUGUAGUUUCGCACUUCCUCAUUUUAGUACUCUAUAAUUUAAAGUGUAUCAAUUUAGUGCCCUCUGGUUUUAUUUUUCUCUUUUCAUCAACUUCUUCGUUAAUAUUUCGUUAAAUUAUAUACAAAAAAACUUCAGAUACCCACCUAGGUUUAUCGAAUAUUUACUUUAAUACUCUUUAGUUUUAACUUUGUCAUUGAUUUAAAGAAAAAAAUUAGUAGAAUUGAUAAUAAAAGGAUAAAAAUAAAACCACAGGACGCUAAAUUGAUACACUUUAAAGUAUAAAAUAAUAAAAUGAGAAAAUGUGAAAUCACAGGGGUGAUAUUUGAAAAUUUUCUUUUAAUUUUUAGUUUUUUGUUUUAGCAGUGGGCGGUGGCGUCGGGUGCUUCCCAUACGUGCGCUGCUGGCCCGGUACUUGGCAAAAGCCAAAACCACCUGAGGAACGAAUCACAUCCCCAGUGACGUUUCUGCCCUACUUUUGGAACAAAAGGCCAAAAAAAAAAAAACUUUAAACUAACGUAAAAAAGAUUAUGAACUUUAGUUUUCUUUUUUGUUUUUUUCCCAAUUAGAAUCUUAUUAUUCUAUUUGAAUUGGAUUCUAAUUCGGUUUCAGAUUUUGAAUUCCGAAAUUUUUCGGAUUCAAAUUCAGAUUUACUAUUUUUUUUCCCUAACUCAUAUUCAGAUUCGGAUUCAGAUUCGAAUAUGCAAUUUUGAAAUAUCCCAACAAAACUCUCACAACUUUUUUUUAUUUUAGCUUUAAAUAGAAUUAGGCUGGUAUACUUCCGUGCUACCAAAUUGUUUUCAAUAAUGCAACCUCCAAAUCGACGAUCGGCUCCGUUAGACUUGAUUUAUACUAUUGAAAGUAUUUGAAAACUAAAUUUCAUAAUUUUUCGACAUCAUUUGUCUAGUGAUCAAAAGUUACCAAAAUUGACAAUUUUAAUAGUCGACGUGAUGUAUUUGUGAAUUUAACGGUGUAAAACAAUUCAAAUCUGAUAAAAUCUUUAUAAAAAAUUCUUUUCACUAUUUAGAGUAAGAUCAGUACCUCUGAUCUUAAAUCAAGUCUUUUAUCAUCAUUUUUUAUAAGUUUUUUUAUUUUCAGUCGUUUAUUUUAGACUACUCAUUGAUAGAUAAAUAAUGUCGACAAAUUAUGAAAUUUAGUUUUCAAAUACUUUUAAUAGUGUAGAUCAAGUCUAAUGGAGCCGAUCGUCGAUUUGGAAGCGGCAUCAUUGAAAAUAACUUGGUAGCACUGAGACCUCUGUGCUACCGAUAGUAUACCAGCCGGACUCCUUUAAAUAUUAAUUAAAUAAUAUAAGUGGUAUGGUAUCCAAUGUUGAUUUAGGGGCCGUUUGGUUCAGGAACAAAGCGGGAAUAAAUACUUGUUCCUUUUUUUGUUUCCAGAUGCUAUGUUUGGUACUCGAGAACAAGCAGUUUUCAAGUCUCUGGAAUAAGCAAGUAUAAUCCGGUAUAAGUUUUGAAUUGUUAUUCCAACUUUUUUCUAGAACAAGCUUGUUCCCAAGUAGAAACAAGAUUAAUUAAAGUUUAAAUUUAAUUUUAACUAUGAUAUUAAAUUAUUAAUUAAUCUAAUUAAUAUAUUAGAAUUAUUAUCCAUUGUUUAAAUAAUAAAGUAAUUAAUUAAUUAAUUUAUUAUGUAUAAUUAAUUAGCUAAUUAAUUAUUAAUAAUUUAAUGUGUUUAUCUAUAAAUUAAUUUUUAUAUUGAUCAACCAUUAAUAUUAUUAUUAUUCUAAUUAAUUUUUUAAUUAGUUAUCAGACUAAAAUAAUUUACUAACUAAUUAAAAAUCUAAAUUAUUUUUUAUAGUUAAUUAAUUAAUUGAUAUAUUUUUAUUAUCUUCUAUAAUAUUCAUAGGUAAUAAAUUUAUUAAUUUAUUAAAUUAUUUUAAUUAAUAUUUUGAUGUUAAUUAACAGGAUAAAACAUUUUUAAUUUAAAAUUAUAACUCUUGUUUUUUCUGUUUCAAUCUAAUCAUCCAAACACUAUUUACCUUAUUUUCAAAAACAAUCUAAUUUUUGUCUAAAUGCAAAAUUAGUCUAGUUUCUGUUUAUAUCUAAACUUAUAUCUAUUUGUGAAAUAAGUAGUUUUUACUCGUAUCUGAACCAAGAUUCUUUUUUAUUAGUUCGGUUUGGACUACUAUUGAUGUGACAAACUAUUUAUUUACCUUAUAGUCUCUCUUCUUCUUUUUUUCCUUAUUUCUUUAAUUUAUGUUUUUUUUUUAUUAUUUUGAAGUGGUGGUUUCAUCACAAACAAAUAUCUUCCUUCGUUUCUUUGUCAUUGUACCAUCAACUAAAACCUUUUCUUAAAAUAGAGAUCAAAGGUUGUGACUAUUUGCUUAGGAGGCCGUUUCUAGAAGAAGGAAUGCAAGCUUACAACAAAAUUCUAUUAUGUGCGGAAUGGCAAUCUUGGUGGGUCUGCUCCUACAGGCAACCAUUAUUUGCAGCCGUAAGGUGGAGUGAGGGUUUUGAUGCGGUAUGCUUUGAGGUUGAUCUGAACUUUCAUAGUACAAUCAGAGGUUAAAUUUUGUGUGAAAGUUGCAGAUUUGGGCUUCAGCUCCCUAUGGGAGAAGAGUAAAAUUACGCUGUUGUUUUCUGAAAUAUUGCAUAGCCCCCCGACCUCCACCACCUUGAUAUUUAACAGUUUGUUUUGAUUUUGAGUGACCAAGUAAAUUUGAUUUGCCUAAUGUCUAUCUUUUUUUUAUUUUUUUUCUUUCUUUCUUUCUUUCUUUCUUUUUUUAGCUACUUGCUUUUGCUUCUCCUCUACUUACCACUAUAAUUUUAUGGCCUUUGAAUCAUUUGAAGCAUUUUGGUUGUUUUCAUUUUAGUCUUUACUGUGUCGUGAUUAUCUAACAAACUCUUUAGGUUAGCUGCAAAAGAAGUGCCUUUUAUUGUUGAACUACAAUGGGGGUGCCGUAUGCUGCUCUUGUUGUUGCUAUUAUUAUUAUUAUUAUUGUUGUUGUUGUUGUUGUUGUUGUUGUUGUAGUUCUUCUUCUUCUUCUCUUAUGUUGUUGAACUAUAGAAGGGGUGCUUCUUCUUCUUCGUCGUCGUCCUGCUCCUCCUCCUCCUCCUCCUCCUCUCCUAUUCUUGUUGCUAUUAUUAUUAUUAUUGUUAGAAGGGGUGUAAAGUCUCAUCUUUCAUUUUUUGGCUGGAAAAAGUGGUAAAGUUGGAAGACUUUGCAUUCAAGUAUCUCCUGCACUGCAGGACUAUUUUGGCAGGGGCUACUCGGCAGGCAACCAUUUUGCAUUCAGAUUGACAUUACAGAUAUGAGGGACUAGUGCACAAUAUCCAAGAUUCGAGGGAAUCACAUGCCUCCCAAAAUGAGAUAGAGAGAGGGAGAAAAACUCUUAUUAUCGAUGAAUCGGCAUCUCUGAAACAUGGUCAAAUUAGAGAAAAGCUUUCUAAGAAGAGAGGCGAUGAUGGUUCGUAAUCCUCCUCUCAUGCUCUGCCACUCCCUGAUUUAGUAAUGGCGUGGCAACCCUGGAGGUAUAUUGUCUUAAGGUGACAAUUACAUGUUGUGGUUGUGAGACUGGUUUGUGGACAACAAAUGGCAACCAGGUUGGUAUUCAUUGCUAGGUGGGAGUGGUGAAGACCGAAGAUAGGAGGGAGGCUAAUGGAAUAGUUCCCCUGAGCCUCUGCUUCUAAAUCCUGUUUUAUUGUUCUAUGAAUUAUGAAGGCUUUUUGUGGACUUCUGUCCAUGCAUCUUGUGCAGGUAAUAAUUUCUCGAGCUUAUCUUUUUCUGAUAAGGUUGAGGAUUUUCCAUCUUGAGGACAAGGUGGCUAUCGAGGGCGGUGGAAUGACAUAUUCCUAGAUUAGGCUUUUUUAAUUAUGAAAUAAUAUAUUAUUUAUUUUAAAACAUUUCAGUUAUUUUCAAUAAAAUGUAACUAGGGUUAGGUUAUAUAGAUGUGUAUCUUCUAGGGUUUGGAGAAUAAGAAGAAUUUGACCAUCUUGUUCUAUCUUCCCUCCCGUUCUCUUCCCCCUUAUCUAUUUUUAUCUCUCUAAUAACUCUCUCUUUCUUUAGGAGGUUCGAUUCUCUCGAAGUGAUCGUUAAUCCUUAUCGAUACGGUAGAACUGUCUGUAUCAUCAGGCCAAAUUUCGUAAAUAAUUUUUUUGAAGGACUAUUUUUACAAUUAUAAUAUGUUAUAAGUCUAUUAAUAAAAGAAAAGUCAACCAACCAUCGUAAUCAAAAUAAUCAAAUGCAUAUCAAACGGCACAAACGGCAAUCUAAUCAUUUAUUACAAUCCAAACUUAAUUAAUCAGAGAGUCAAACACAUAUCAAAAUCGCACAUAAAGAAAAAAAAGCACAUCCUGACACGUGUACAGAAUACGGUAACGAACGAGAUGUAUACCUUCGCCAGGUGAAGACAAUCUUCAAUACGUCCAUGUCGAGAAGGACAAUGCGGCGGCGGCGGCGGCGGCGGAUGCCGGGCGAAGACGGGGGGAAGGAUCGGACUUCAGGAGGAGCAAGGGCUUCGCGAACAGAGUCAGUGCGAAGAGACAGGAGAAGGAGACUCCGCCGCCGCCGAUGCCGGGUGAAGACGGGGGGAGGAUCGGACAAGGGCUUCGGGAACAGAGGCGCCGAUGCCGGGCGAAGACGGGGAGAGGAUCGGACAAGGGCUUCGGGAACAGAGGCGGUGCGAAGGGACGGGGGAGAAGGAGACUCAGACUUGCUGUGCACGUUUUGAUUUUAGUUUUAGAAAAACUUCAAAUGCCAUCCUUGUGGUUUUAUAUUUUCUGACUUUAAUAUUCUAUAAUUUAAAUUUAAAGUGUAUUAAUUUAGUAUUUUACGAUUUUAUUUUUAUUUUUUUAUUAUAAAUUUUAUUAAUUUUUUUCGUUAAAUCAGUGACAAAGUUAAAACUAAACGGUAUUAAAAUGAAUGUUCGAUAAACCUAGGUGGGGUAUCUAAAAUUUUUUAUAUAUAUUUUAACGAAAUAUUAACGAAAAAGCUAACGAAAAAAUAAAAAUAAAACCGCAGGACACUAACUAGAUACACUUUAAUUAUAGGGUACUAAAAUAAGAAAGUGUGAAACCACAUGAGUGAUUUUUGAAUUUCACCCUUUAGUUUUCAGUUUUUAGUUUUUUUAUUUUAGCAGUGGACGGUGGUGUCGGAUGCUUUCCAUACGUGCGCCACAGGCCGAUACAGACUUGGCAAAAGCCAAAACCACCUGAGGAACAAAUCACAAUCCCAGUGACGCUUCUGCCCUACUUUUGGAACAAAAUGCCAAAAAAACAGCAAAAAACUUUAAACUAAUGUAAAAAGGGUUAAUUACACCGAUGGUCUCAAAUCUUUGCACUAUUUUUCACUUGGGUCCCCAACUUUUUUUUUUGCAAUUGAGUCCCUAAUCUCUUGAUUUUAUUACAAUCACGUCCCGCCGUAAAAAAUACUGUUAAAAUUAAUGGAAUAGAAUAGGCAUCCUUUUGCAUGUUAAUUUUGGUCCAUAAACUUUGCACGUUUUUCACUUUAGUCCCUAAAAAAAAUUUAAAAUUUUAAUUUGAAAUUCAAAAAUAAUAUUAAAAUUAAAAUUUUAAACUAACGAGAAAUUAGAAAUUUGAAUUUGAAUUUAAAGCUAAAUUAAAAUCUUGAAUUGAAAUUUAAAUUUUAAAUUUGAAUUUUAAAUUGAAUCUAAAAUUUGAAUUCAAACUUAAAGUUUUGAUUUUGAUAUUUCAAUUUACAUUUAAAAUGAAAGUUUUGAAAUUGAAAUUUAAAUUUAAAAUCGUAUUCAAAAUUUUGAUUUUAAAUUUAAAUUUGAAUUCAAAAUUUAAAUUUAAAAUUAAGAUUUGAUUUCAAUUCUAAAUUUGAAUUUAAACAUCGAAUUCAAAUUCACAUUUUGAUUUGAAAUUUCAAAUCAAAGUUUGAAAUUAAAUUAGAAUUUAAAAUUCGAAAUGUGAAUUCGAGUUUAAAAUUAAAAUUUUAAAAUUAAAUGUAAAAUCAGAAUUUGAAUUCAAAUUUAAAUUUGAAUCCAAAAUCAAAAUUUAAAUCUUAAAUUAAAAAUCUUGCUUUAAAUUUAUAAAUGUAAUGGGUUAAUUACACCAUUGGUCCUCAACCUUUACACAAUUUUUCAAUUUAGUCCUCAACCUUUUUUUUUUUUUGCAAUCCGCUGACACCCGCCUCUGUGGCGCUGACACGGCGCCUCCGUGGCGCUGACAUGGUGCUGACGUGGUAUUUUCCGUCAAUUUUAAUACCUUUUUGACGGCUGGGACUUAAUUGUAAUGAAAUCAAUAUAUUAGAGACUUGAUUGCAAAAAAAAAAAGAUUGGGGACCAAAUUGAAAAAUAGUGCGAAGGUUUGGGACCAAUGGUGUAAAUAACCCAAUGUAAAAAAGAUUAUAAACUUUAGUUUUCUUUUUUGUUUUUUUUUUUUCUAAUUAGGAUCUUAUUAUUCUAUUUGAAUUUGGAUUCUAAUUCGGUUUCGGAUUUUGAGUUCCGAAAUUUUUUGGAUUCAAAUUCAGAUUUACUAUUUUUUGCCCCAACUCAUAUUCAGAUUCGGAUUCGGAUUCGAAUAUGCAAUUUUAAAAUAUCCCAACAAAACUCUCACAACUUUUUUUUAUUUUAGCUUUAAAUAGAAUUGGAUUCGGAUUCGAAUUCGGAUUCGAAUAUGCAAUUUUGAAAUAUCCCAACAAAACUCUGACAACUUUUUUUAUUUUAGCUUUAAAUAGAAUUAGGCUGGUAUACUAUCGGUAGUACGGAGGCCUCCGUACUACAAAAUUGUUUUCAAUGAUGCGGCUUCCAAAUCGACGAUCGGCUCCGUUAGAUUUCAUAUACGCUAUUGAAAGUAUUUGAAAACUAAAUUUCAUAAUUUUUCGACAUCAUUUGCCUAGUGAUCAAAAGGUAUCAAAAUUGACAAUUUCAUAAUUUUUCGACAUCAUUGGCCCCAAUUUCCCUUUCAAUUGCCAAAAAUCAACAAAGAUUAACACUGUAAGUCAUAAAAUUGUGAGAUUACCUCAAACUUUGCAUUCGGUUCCGAACGCCACUCUAUUAGCGGCAAAGCAUCAAUGGUAAAGCAGCAACCAGGAGAAGAACAAAAAUAUAAAUGACACCUUGAGAUUCUAGAAUUCGCAAACCAUGUACCUUGAAAUUAAACUAAACCAAAAGCAACUCCAUCUACGAGAAAUAAACCUUCACGUACGGAUCGGAAUAGCAAUUCCAACUGUUUGUUUAGCAUGACCAUUUUCUCUAUCGCAAGAAGCAAACAACAGCAUUUGAAACAGGAAAAGCCCUCGGCUCUUUCUAUGGCAGCAAACUGAAAUAAAAUUUCAUUGGCUUGUCUGUCUCCAAAGAACUAAGUAGGAUUUAUUUCUCACAAAUAUAAAGGCCAACAAGCAAACUCAACAUAUUGUUAUAUUUCAACUGCCUUUCGGACAAAUACCAAUCAGAAAUUAGCAGAAGCCAAUACCGCUUAGAAUAUAAGGGCAACAUAUUUGCCUAAGCUAUGUGUUUUACACUGCAAAGUUUUGUAUCUCACACCGAACCCUACAAGUAGAUAAAUUUGACUCUUCACGAGAGCACCGACAAACUCCCAUAUUCAGGAAAAGUAGCAUCUUUUAUUUGUUGAGGCAAAGAUAAGAAGAUAAAAUGACACAAUAUAACUUGUUAAAGCCUCCAAAUUACUAACACUAAUAACUAAGAACUUAAAAUAAAGAAAAACCAGCAAUCGAAAAAAAAAAAAAAUUUACCACCAUUAUUCACGACCAAACAGCACCUGAAUGGGGAAGGCCUGGUGUAGAGCAUGACAUUCCGCCUGCAAAGCAAAUAAGGAAACAUCUAGUUGUGUUAUUGCAAAGAGACAGAAAAUUUAAACAAACAAGUAUUGCUAAUUAUAUUUCAUUGAUUAGCAUAAUCAUAUAAAGAUAACAUGGAGAAUGUUAUCCAACACUUUAUCACGAAUACUAUCAAGAAGCAUCAGAAACUAUUAUGCAACAAUUGAUAUGUAGGAAAUAAUUAGCAUCUCUUCCUGAAUCUUGUGAGAAUCAGUAAAAGAUAUAGUCCUCCUAACAAUUCAAAAGCCUCAUCCAAAUUCCUAAUUUUACAAGUCCAAGAAAUUACCAAUUUGGACAAAUAUAUAGCUAGCUAAUUGUGGUAGCUGAAAUUUUUUUCAUGAAAAAAAAUUAACACAAUGAGGAAAAUAUAGAAACUUAACAUAAAACAAAGUUGAACAUUGAUGUAACUAAGCAUUGGAAGUAGAAAUACAAGACGAACAGAAUAAAUAAUUUUAGCAUAGGAAACCUCAUUCUCCCUUUCCACAACAUAUCGCAUGUCACAUCGUUACAAAUAUCGAAUUAAAUAACAAAUGCUCUGAUUAAUUUAAAUACUAUAUACACAAACUAUAACCUAACUAUACAAACAAAUAAAUAAAAAUGUACCUCUACUAACUCGCAGUGGGCUUGAGUCUACAAAGAGCAACUUUAAUGUUACGUUGCACCCCAUAAAGCACCUUCGCCUGGAAGAUUUUCGGCUCAGCUUCACCGUCAACUGCUUGGAAGGUAACAUAGUACCAAAGUCCUGUUGCGACACUACACGUUGCCUUCUCUAUUUUUACAAACACGUAACUCAUAUCCUACAUUAUAAAAAACAUCAUAAAAUCAAUUUUAUCAAACAAAAAUAAAGACACAAAGAAAAAAACAAUAGGAAAAGACAUACACAAGGGAACAUGAACAUACAUUUUUCUUAUUAAAAUGUUCGAUUGCCAAUUUAGUACAUCUGAUAAGAAUUUCAUCAUCAAAAUCCGUGAUCGCCGUAAGGCCAAACUCACACGUGCCUGGAAAUGGAUCAACAUCGAAUCCCUGUAAAAGACAUGUAUUAACAAUUAGUGAAAAAAAAAAAGGUUGUGAAGCUUUAACUCUCAAAAAGAAGAUAAUAAUUAUUAAACACCUCGCUUUCCUUGAUUUGUUUGUAAUAUCUAGCCCAUUCUUCGUGAGUCCUACUGCGAUUACCAUUCGGCCAAACGUAAACCUUAUCUUCCUCUGAAGUUGCUCAUAAACCCUUUGAUCCUUCUCGUUCCCUUUCUCUUCCUCUAUUUCACUUUGGAUUUCUUCCUCCUUGCCCUCGUCCCUCAUCUCUUCGCUUUCUUCGUGCAGUUUCAACUUCUCCUACAUCGACUCUUCAGGUAUCAGCUUCUUAGCAUUCUGCUAUAUCACAAAAUGAAAUACAUCUAUACAUAAAAAAUUUAAAUAAAUUUCAAUCAAAACUGACGACAAAUUAAAAAAAAAAUUCUUAAAUUGGCUCAAAUAAAAGAAGAAUUUAGCCGAUGCAUACGAAAUAGAGUCCAAACAGGGCAGAAUUCAGGUGAUACAUUCCUAGAUUAGGAUUUUCUAAUUACGAAAUAAUAUAUUAUUAUUUUAAAAUAUUUCAGUUGUUUCCAAUAAAGUGUAAUUAGGGUUAGGUUAUAUAAAUGUGUAUUUUUUAGGAUUUGGAGAAUAAGAAGAAAUUGGCCGUGUUGUUCUAUCUUCCAUCUUGUUCUCUUCCCCCUUAUCUAUCUUUAUCUCUCUAAUAUCUCUCUCUUUAGGAGGUUCGAUUCCCUCGAAGUGAUCAUUUACCCCUAUCGAUACGGUAGAAUCUUGUUCUAUCUCCCCUCCCGUUCUCUUCCCUCUUAUCAAUCUUUAUCUCUCUAAUAUCUUUCUCUAGGAGGUUCGAUUAUCUCAAAGUAAUCGUUUAUCCCUACCGAUACGGUAGAACCGUAUCAUCAGGCCAAAUUUCGUAAACAAUUUUUUUGAAGGAAUAUUUUUAUAGUUAUAAUCUAUUACUCUUUAUGAAUCCCCAAUGUUUUAAGCUGAUGUGUCAUAACCUCCUAAUUUUGAAUUUUUUUUAAUUUAGAAUGAUCAAUUUUAUUCUCUCUCUCAACAUACGUCUCUUCAUCUCCCCCAUUUAAUUUUUAUUUAGAAUGAGUCAUUUUACUCUCUCUCUCAACAUACGUCUCGUCAUCUCCCCUAUUCAAUUUUUAUUUAGAAUUAGCCAUUUUACUCUCUCUCUCUCAACAUUCGUCUCCUCAUCUCCCUCAUUUUAUUCUCUCUUUCUUAACAUACGUCUCUUCAUCUCUUCCAUUUAAUUUUUAUUUAGAAUAAGCUAUUUUACUCUCUCUCUCCAUCGUUGGUAGAUGUACCAAGUGAGAUAUACAAAAAAAUAUUUAAUAUUUUAUUAUUAUUAAUUACUACUAUAGUUUCUAUCCGCUGCAAAGCGCGGGACUCUUCACUAGUAUGAUAUAAGUCUACUAAUAAAAGAAACGUCACAAACAAACGGCAUUCUAAUCAUUUAUUACAAUCCGAACUUAAUUAAUCAGAGAACCAAACACAUAUCAAAUCGCACAUUCAAACAAAAACAAAAAAAAAGAAAGCACAUUCUAACACAUGUGUACGGAAUAUGGUAACGAACGAGAUGUAUACCUUUGCCAGGUGAAGACAAUUGUAAUGUCUUGAAGAAUAAGUAGUUUAAUAGUUAGUAGGGGAAGGAAGUAAAAAUGUCAACUUUACAAUAGUAAGACCAGAAAUAAGGACGGAAGUAGUAGGCGGAUCGGGCGGUCGAAUUACCGGAUCGGGCGUAAAACGCAGACCCAAGCCCCGCCGGGUUGCGGGUGAUGCGGAGAAGGCAGGAACCGACGCCCACUUACCGUUAUGCAUGGGUCAGGCGAACCGGAGCUCGGAUCGAGGCGAAAUGGCAAACCCAAGACCUGCAGGGUUGCGGGUAGUGAGGAGAAGUGCGGACCCGAGUCCGUUUGCCUGACAAUCAGCAGAAGAGAUCGGGAAAGCCCGGGAAAGGGCCCAACUACCAUGAGAUUUCAGCCCAUACGAGUUUUUCCUCAAUUUAUCACUUUUGCUGUUUAGCCCUCAUAGACUAGGUGCGUUUUUAGUUUAGUCCAAAUUACCAAGUACUAUAAAUACCAAAGUAUAAUGUAAACAGGGUAUCAAUAAAAUGAAAUAUUGAAUCUGCUUCUUCCCCAAACUCUCUUCUUCUCUAAACUCUCUUUUCCCAACUCUUAUCUUUUCUCUACCUCUCAUCCACACCAUGUCUAAACUCUAAACACAAUGAAUAAUUCGCCGUGUUUAAAAAAAUACAAUUAUAUGUAUUACGAAAAAAAUAUAAGUAUUAAAAAAAGGGAAUACAAAAAAUAUAAGCACGGAACAUGGUGAAUGGACCAUUCACCGUAAUUGAACACGAUGAAUGAUUUACCGUGUCUAAGAAAAAUAUAUCAUUUACCGUGUUUGAAUGCGGUGAAUGAUUCACGGUGUUCAACUUAUCACCCCUCCAGCUUUUACAAAAAUAAUUUAUAAAAUUUAAAUUUUAUAAAAAUAUAUUUGUUUGUUAUAAUCGGAACGACGAAAAGUAGAUCCAGAAAAUAAUUUAAUGCAGGAAAAGAAAAGAUAAGGAAAGAGUACACCGAUAUUUACGUGGUUCGGCCAACAGCCUACGUCCACGGGCGAAGACGGAGCAAAUACUUUGUUAAUGUCGAAAAGGCGGAAUACAAAGAAGAUUUCUCGAAAAAUAACCAAAGCUUAAUUAGAUCGAAACGCCGCAACAAGCAACUCCAAAAUUGGCUUCUCUCUCACCCGUACGACGUAUGGCUAAAUUAAAGUAGCCGCGGAUUCUUGACCGUACGAAACGUGCAUAGCUUGGCUUAAUUAGAGUGUGGCUUCUAAUCAGCCGCAGCUCCUGACCGUACGGACCGCAAGACCAACAUGGAUUGCUUAAUUAGAGCCCCGGCAGCUCAGAAUAAUUAGCACAUGGCAUCUAAUUUUGGUCGCGGCAUUAUUAACUUAGCCGUAGCGUAUCUAUUACUCUAUGUGAAUUCCCAAUAAUUUUGCCACGUGGCAAGUUUUUCUCCACUCUCACUAAUCUUUUUUUUGAAUUGAUUUUUACUCUUGGCUUUUCCACUCCCAUCUUCUUUAUUCAAUGACAUGUAAUUAAUGUGCUUUUUAAUUUAUACGUUUCCUAUUCAAAAUUACUUUUUUUGAAUUGAUUCUUACUCUUGGCUUUUCUCCUCCCCUCCUCUCUAUUCAAUGACAUAUAAUCAAUGUGCUUUUUAAUUUAUACGUUUUCUCUUCACAAUUAGUCCUUUCUUCUCCCACAAAUAAUUCCUAACAUGCAAAAUUAGAAAAGGAGAAGAUGAAUAGUUACUACUUUCAGAUCUAGAGAUUGGGGAAUAGUAAGGGAGUUUUCCAAGCUCUAAUCCGUGCCAAUCCGACUCGACCCGAACCCCCCCCCUCCGAAUCAAAAGAGUGUUUAUAGGGUUUCUAUUAAUGCCGAUCUCUUCGGAUUUAUGGAAAAAUAAGGUAAUCGAACGGUUUUUCAAUAGAGAAAGCUAAUUGGAGAGCAAUAAUGGACGGUUCGAGGGGUAGGUUUGGAAAACGAAAAUCCUAAACCUAAUUUUUCUUUUCUUUAUUUUAAUCUCGAAUUCUUACUAUGUAUUCAUUUAGAAUUUAAUUUAUUUGCAUUAUUUUUUAUAUGGUGAUUGUAUCAAUUAAGGACUUGAUUUAUAUGCAUUAUUUUGAUUAAUUUAGAGGUUAUUUUUUAUUUCAUAAUUGAUGUGGCAGGUUUGGCCCACAACUUUUGAUCAUUCCAUGCUCAAAAGGGUGCAAAAUUUUGCAAAUUUUUAUCAGAUUUUCAUCGCCAUCGUCGUCAUCAUCGCAACAUUAUUAUCUCCAUCUUCAUACGACCUUUGUAGGUUUUUUUUUUUUGAAUGUUGAUUCUGGGCAGUUAUCAAUUUUCAAUGGCUAUAUUGGUUAGUUCAAUUCAUACGUUUCCCUACCCAAAAAAUAAAACACUCUUAAAUUUUUAUUUUCCAAACUUCUUUCUUCUUACUCUUCAAUAUUUUUUAAUUUUUUUUCUAUUAUUUAUCCGCGGCAUCGCGCGGGUUAGUACACUAGUAUAUAUAUAUAAUACAUGUUUUCUAAUUAAAGUCUAAUUCUAAUUAGAUUAGAAUUACACUCCUAAUUAUAAUCUAUAAAAUAUAUAUGCUAAAUUAAAUCUAAAUUAUAUCCAAUCCCAAAUAAAUUAGGAUUUAACUCUAAUUUAGAUAACUACAAAUCUAAACCAAAUAUAAAAAUAAUUUACUAUAUUUUGGCAACCUGUAUGUAAUUAACCUAAAAAUUUUCGUCUUAUGAGUGGAGGAGGACAUCAGUAAUUAAAGGGCUUUCUUUGCAAAUAGCCCCCUGAAAAAUUUUAUUUGCGCAAAUAGCCCCGUCUAAAAAUUAUUUGCAAAAAUGGCCCUGGCCCUGCCACGCCAGCGCCACGUCAGCGCCACGCGAGCAGGGCCUGGGCCAGGUGGCUAAGUUGAACACGGCAAUUGGUUCACCGUGUUUAGACACGGUGAACCAAUCACCGUGCUCAUUGUAUUACUCCCGCCCACGACGGGGUGUUAGUAUUACAUUAGACACGGUGAUUCGUUCACCGUGUCUAAACACGGUGAACCAUUCACCGCGUCUAAACACGGUGAACUAUUCACCGCGUUUAGACACGGUGAACCAAUCACCGUGUCUAAUGUACUACACACCAUUUCGCGGGUGCCAAAUAAGGCAUAGAACACGGUGAUUGGCUCACCGUUGUAUUAGACACGGUGAACCAAUCACCGUGUCCAAUGUAUCACUCCAGCCCAAGGCGGAGGGUUGGUACCACACUUAAACACGGUCGAUACGUUCACCGGGUCUAAACAUGGUGAACUGUUCACCGCAUUUAGACACGGUAAACGGUUCACCGCGUAUAGGACACGGUGAACGGAUCGCCGUGUCCAAUGCAUGGGCCGGGUGCGGCUGCGAGAAAAUCUAACACGGCCUGGCCCAGUUCGUUAACCAAGCGCCUAUGGCCCAAUAAAGAAAGUCGGGCCAGAUCUAAAAGUGCGGCUGCGAGAAAAUCUAACACGGCCUGGCCCAGGAACCGAAUCAAUGCACGGGCCGGGUGCNCCUGGGCCAGGCCGUGUUAGAUUUUCUCGCAGCCGCACUUUUAGAUCUGGCCCGACUUUCUUUAUUGGGCCAUAGGCGCUUGGUUAACGAACUGGGCCAGGCCGUGUUAGAUUUUCUCGCAGCCGCACCCGGCCCAUGCAUUGGACACGGCGAUCCAUUCACCGUGUCCUAUACAACCCUAUACCCCGAAAAUGGCUAAGUCUGGUAAACCCUAAACCUUCGAAAAUGGUUAAGUCUGGUAAACCCUAAACCUUGAACUAACUGAAUUGGACACGGUGAACCAUUCACCGUGUCCAAUACAACUAGCCACACCUAAGCCGUAUUUGGCCAAAUAUGGAAGUAAAGGACACGGUGAUUAGUUCACCGCGGUGAAUAGUUCACCGUGUUUAGACACGGUGAAUGAAUCACCGUGUUUAGACACGGUGAACGAAUCACCGUGUCUAAUGUAAUACUAACACCCCGUCGUGGGCGGGAGUAAUACAAUGAGCACGGUGAUUGGUUCACCGUGUCUAAACACGGUGAACCAAUUGCCGUGUUCAACUUAGCCACCUGGCCCAGGCCCUGCUCGCGUGGUGCUGAUUUGGCGCUGGCGUGGCAGGGCCAGGACUAUUUUUGCAAAUAAUUUUUAGAUAGGGCUAUUUGCGCAAAUAAAAUUUUUCGGGUGGCUAUUUAAUUGAAAUUUUCGUCUAAUAAGUGAGGGAGGAGGCCAUCAGUAAUUGGUGUAUUCUAGACUCUUUCGUGUCUUCGGGAGGUACAAGGCGUGCUCCUUUUCUUGCUAUGACGAACUCCCACAUCACCAAAGAGAGGGGAAAAAAAAAAAAAAAAGGAGGGAGAAAACACAUUUCUCUCUCCUUUGAUCCUUUCCCGGAAACCAAACAUCGCAUUACAGAAUCUGGCAAUGGCGGGGCAGCGCGCUGGAUGNGGCCAUCAUUUAUAAUGAUGAUGAUUAUCAUCAUAAUCUUUAAAGGCGCUUCGACUUCAUGUGAGGAUGCCUCCGUUGUCGACGGCAUUGGAUCAGCAUCUUCUUGCUCCCUUUCAUAUUUUUUGAUCCUGGCUGAAGUAACUAUCAUCAUUUUUUCUUUUUCUUUUUAUUCUACUUCUCCAUUUCUCUUCUUGAUGCCUCCUCUUCCUCCUCCUUGUUGUUGUUACUGUUACUGUGUUCGUGUUGGUGUUGGUGUUGGUGGUGGUGGUGGUGGGGGUGGGUGGAGCCUACCGUCUCCCCGCCCUAUCCUGAAAGGUUUCAGGAAAACCCACAAAACUUCGCCUUUCGGGGUAAAGAUGUAUAAAACUUUCCGCAACUAUCAUCCUUUUCGAUCUGACUACCUAACAGUUAAAAGUUUGGAUUUUACUACCCGUUCUUUCAAUUUAUUUGAUUUAAGCCGAUUAGUAAGCAACUAUGAAUUCAUUAAAGUAAGCAAUUAGUUUAAAUUUUGAAGUCCGAUUAUCGUUGACCGACUCAAAUCGAACAAAUUGGAAAGUUCGGUGGUAAAAUCAAAAUUCUGGGAGGUCGGGUGGUCGACUCAAAAUGAGGCAUUUAGGUUCUCGCAGUUGGUGCUUGGCAUGGUCAUGGUAAUCUUGGAAGGCUCUGCUCUUCUACAGGCAACCACUUUUCCAUGCGAUGUCUUGUGGUGUACUGCAGUACUGUGUUUCGUACCAAUUUUUCCGUGCAGGUGUUUUGGAGCGGAAAUUGGAAUCAUGGUAGAUCCGACUGGAACCGUUGGGUUUGCUUAGACUUGCUGAAAUCACUUCAAACCGGUGGAAAUCAAUUCAAACCACACCUGCUAAUGUUUCCAAGGAUUUACAUGUUCUUGGUUGCAAUUUCAUCCAAAUCAGUGAUUUGGAGGAUCCGAAACUGGGUGCAAAGGAGGCUGUGAUGGUUGCCAACCUGGGUGCUAAUGCUUUGUCCAAGCCAUUUCUUCUUUACCCAGUGUAUACAGCGAAAACAGCUCUUUUAAUAUCAUUUCUUCUUCGGCAAAUUGGAUGGUCUGCUAAUUUAGCAGGCAACCUUAUGCUAGCAUCCAUUGUUAUGGUGCAUGGAUUUUAUGAUGCUUUCUGAGUAAGGCCGGGGAAAUGGUUGUGAACAAACAAAUUGAGGCUUUCGGUGGGUCUCUUGCUGUGUCAUCAACCAUAAUAUUGAUUAGCGACAUAUUGCCGUUCACUCAACUUAAUUGGCUUGUGAGACUUGAUAGCAACAAUCAAGAAAGUUCGAGUCGAAAUUGCAACAAUUAUAUUUUGAGGACUAAAGUGUUACCUGCCUCAUUGUUUGAGGACCAAAAGUGUAAUUUAGCCUUAUUUUAUCUAACAAACCACUGAGCAGGUAAGAAUUUUCUUGCUAAAUUGCAUGUUUGGUCCUCAAACAAUGUGUAACACUUUGGUUCUCAAACUUUAAUCUGUUACAAUCUAGCCUGAACUUUUUGAAUUGUCGCAAUCAAGUCCUGCAAUCCAAUUUAGAUGACUAAAUAUUGAUGCAUCAUUGAUGUAAUAGUGAUGUGACAUUUUAUUUUUUGUCUCAUCAUCAAUUACCAUAUUGCUACCGUCACUUUCACAUUACCGACAUAUCAAUAUUUAGUCAACUAAAUUAGAUUGUAGGACUUGAUUGCAACAAUUUGAAUCAGAAAUUACAAUAAAUUAAUGUUUGGUCCUUGUCAUGUGUCUCAAAGUUUGAGGACAAAAUGUGCAAUUUACCCUAAUUUUCCUCAUCUCAGUGGCAGCUCUCAAUUGGAAGGUCUGCUGUUUUGCAGGCAACCUUGUUCUGUCAUUUGUCUUCAAGGUGCAUAAGACUCUCAUGAUGCCUCUUGAUAUGAUCAAAUGGCAUGUUGAACCCUCUCUUUCCUUCUACUUGAAACAUUCGUUCUACUUUCUUUUCAGCUUUUAAUAUUUCUCAUGUCGACCGUCCGUGUGUCCUCAUGUUGACUGUAUGCUUCAAUCAGACAGGCACUUAAUGUUUUAUCCCAUGUUAAGUAUUUUUUUCCCUUCAUUUUACUUGUCAAAGGAGGCUGUGAUGAUUGUCGGUUGGGAAUGCACCUCAGCUUAUUUUAUCCCGGCUUUUGCUUCUCGGCGGAGUACAGAAGCUGAUAAGGAUACUGGAUAUAAGAGGCAAUAUAGUCAACUCAAACCUAAGAUUUUGGUUGGGUUUUGACAAGUCGGGUGGGAUUUGAAUCUGGUUUGUUAGUUUGCUUUGUCCUUUUACAACCCUUGGGAGCCUUUCACUUUGUUCAUUUGUGGGAUAGACAACAUCUCAGUGGGUGGUUUUUGGCUGACAUGAUGCACCAGGUGCAGGCAAUAAUUUUUCCUUUCUGGGCAGCUCGUGAGGCCAACAUUAAGUACCCGUAGCAGUAUUUAAUUGGAAGGCCUUGCAGGCAAGCCUAUGCUGUCACGUCUUUAAGGUGCAUGAGAUUACAAGAUCCCUCAUGUGGUGAUUAAGCGGCAUGUCUGAGUCUCCAUUUUAUUUUCCUACUUCCUUUUUAGCUAUUGAGAUUUGGUUGUUCACGUUUGUUUUCCCCCUCGCUUUCUUACUGCAUAUAGAAGCUAGGAUGGGUUGUUUUAAAUAUUCCUUAUCAAACCGUUGAAACAUGACUUCAUGCUGGUUGAUGGUAAAUUUUCUAUCCUAUAUGUAUUCAGAUCAGAGGGAAUUUGUUAAUCUUUCGGAUUUUGAUAAGAACUAAAUAUAAGAAAGAUUUGGAUGCUAGGUAUAUAAAUAUUUGGGUUAAUUUCUUCAAUCCCUUCCUUAAAGAUUGUAAUUUCAUAAAGACUCCUUCAAAUUGUAAAGGGUUUAGGGUUGCAUGCAUACAUCUCUCUCUUUUGCAUCUGAUCGACAUCAAGUUUCUAUAUUUAUAUUGGGUUUCUUUGCAUUUUAAAGUUAUACAAAAUUGUUGCAGGGCAUGCAAUCAAAACGGUUGCUCAAUCAAUAGCUUCACUUGAGCCCUAUUAUGUUAUUUGAUAAAGUUUUGGGAUUUAUUUGUUAAAAAGUAGAAGUUUUAGCACCUGUUUGCAAAAGUGUUAGAGUUUAGGGAGGCUUUGUACAUUGUUUCAAUUAUUAAUGUUUACUAAAAAAUGUAUGUUGGGCGCAAACAUUGCAUCCUUUUGGGCUAUUUAGAGAGGCAAAAUACUGUGAGCCCUCAAUUACGGAUGUAUGGGUAUGCCUUCGAGGCGAUACGAGCUAGAGAGCCUAUGUUGGGGGAAAAACAAAGUACUGGGCGUGCUCCCUUCUUGCUGCAAGCUCCUCUGUCUCUUCACUCCCACACUGAGAAACCAAACACCCCCUUAGAGAAUCUGGUAUUGGCGGGGCAGCAUUGGAUGGUUUGCUGUUUGUAGGCUACUGAGCUGCAGCCAUUAUUCCAGAAUUGGUGCGGCAACGGCAGCGGUGGCGAUCAUUUUGUGGCCAUCAUUUAUAAUGAUGAUGAUUAUCAUCAUAAUCUUUAAAGGCGCUUCGACUUCAUGUGAGGAUGCCUCCGUUGUCGACGGCAUUGGAUCAUCAUCUUUUUGACACCUCUCAUAUAUUUUGAUCCUGGCUGAAGUAACUAUCAUCAUUUUUCUUGUACUUAGCCAUUCUUUGCUUGAUGCCAUUUUGUUGUUAUUGUUAUUAUUAUUAUUAUUGUUAUUGUUAUUGUCGUAGUGGUGGUGGUCGUGCAGGUGGGUGGAGUCUGCUCUCUCUCUGCCCCCUGUGAAAAGGGAAACCCACAGAACUUCGUUCUGUGGGGUUGACCAAGCCUUCUCUCUCUCUCUCUCUCUCUCUCUCUCUCUCUCUCUCUCUCUAUAUAUAUAUAUAUAUAUAUAUAUAUAUAUAUAUAUAUUGAGUUCGGCUAUGGUGCUUUUAAAAGCACCAAGCACUUGGUCCUUGUAAGUUUUUGUAAGUUUCCCAUUGUUAGAUUUAUCUCUUUGACCAAUUCCACCCCUAAGAUUAUACUAUUCGACCAACUACCCGCUCAAAUCUUGGGGACAACUAUUAUCCUAACCCUACAAAUCUUCAUCCUAGGCCGAAAACCUACAAGCACCAAUGACUUGGCACUUUUAAAAGCAUAGGAGCUCAAUUCUAUCUAUCUAUCUAUCUAUCUAUCUAUCUAUCUAUAGACAUAUAUGUAUAUAUAUACAGUUUGUGUGUGGGGAAUAUAAGGGGAAAAAAAACAACAAUCAUGCCACAUGAGGCAUUAAGUUUUCAGCGGUUGGUGCAUGGCAUGGUAAUAUUGGAAGGCUUUGCUUCUCUGCAGGCAACUAUUUUUUCAUGUGAUGUCUUGCUUAGACUUGCUGAAAUUAUUGAGAACAAGCUUAUUAAAGCUUUCGAUGAGUCUCUUUCCACGUCAACAACCACAACACUGUCACAUUACUGUUGCAUUAGUGGGACAUUACCGAAAGUAAGUUGGCCUAUGAAACUUGAUUGCAACAAUCAAAAAAGUUUGAGCUAGAAAUUGCAGCUAUUAUGGUUUGAGGACCAAAAGUGUAAUUUAGCCUUAUUUUAUAUAACAAACGACUGGGCAAGCAAUAAUUUUCCAAUCUCGGCACCUAUAACUGCACUCAAUUGGAAGGCCUGCUAUUUUGCAGGCAACCUUGUUAUGUCGGUUGUCUUCAAGGUGCAUAAGACUAUAUGAUGCCUCUUGAUAUGAUCGAAUGGCCAGUCGGAGCCUCUCUAUCCUUCUACUUCCUUUUCAUCUAGUAAUAUUUCUCAUGCUGACUGUCGAUGUUCUCAUGCUGACUGUAUGCUUCAAUUAGACAGGCCCUUAAUGCUUCAUGCAAAUGUUAAGGAAGCGUCUCUCCUUUAUGUUACGUUUCGAAGGAUGUUGUGAUGAUUGGCGGUUGCGAAGGCACCUCAACUUGUUUUUUUCUUGGCUUUUGAUUCUUAGAGCGUGUUUGGUUCACUUCUUUUUCACUCUGGAAUCGAAAUCGGAAUGGGUGAAUCUGUUUGUGGGUGUUUGGUAUGCGGGAGUUCCAUUCCCAUUCCUAUUCCCGAGUGGGAUGGGAAUCCCCUAAUCAUCUCUUUUUCCAAUCCGGUCUAGUAGGCCGGAUUGACAGUUGAAUCCAGACGGAAUGGAUAUUUAUUCGGAUUAAAUUAAUUUUUUCAACUUUUUUAAAUUAAAAUAUGAGUUUAAAUUUAGAAAUUAAAUUUAUAAUUUUAAAUUUUAAUUUGAAUUUGAAUUAAAAAUUAAAAUUUAAUCAAUUAUUUUGAAUCUAACUUAUAAAUUUGAAUUUAAAUUAAAUUUUAAUUUAUAUAAAGUUUUAUUCAAAUUUUAUUUAAAACUUAAAUUAAAUUUAUGGAUUCAAAUUAAAAUUAAAAUUGUAAUUUUAAGUUUGAAUUUGAAUAAAUCGAAAUUUAGUUUUAUAUUUUGAAUUAUCCACUCAACUUCAAAGUUUAAUUUUUUAAAAAAAAAUAGAUUUAAAAUUUUGACAUUAUUUCAAAAUUUUGAUGUAAAUUUUUAAUAUUUAAUUUUCAGUUUGAAUUUAAAUUAAUAUAUUAUAAAGAUAAAGUUAGUAUAUUAAUUUGAUUACGUUUUUUAUAUCUAUCUGAACAAAACACCGACAAUGGGAAUGAUUUAUUCCGAUUCCGAUUCAGGUAAUGAAUCAAACAGAAUUAGGUAAUGAGUCAUUCCAAUUCUGAUUUCAGCUUAUUUCGAUUCCGAUUCUGAUUCCGAUUCCAACUUCGAACCAAACGCGCCCUUAAUGGAGUGCAGAAGCUGAUCGAAAUACUGGAUAUAAGAGGUAGUAUGGUCAACCCUAAAAACUGCACUUUUGCAUUAAAAAAAAUCCCUUUCAUGAAUAACUGUAGAAACGGAUGGUCUGCACUUUUGCAGGCAACCUAGCAGUUACAUGCUGUUUUUUGUGGUUUGUACUUUUAAGCUGUUUCUUUGCGACAUCAUUUGCCUAGUGAUCAAGCAAUGCCAAAUACAUCGUAUAUUAGACAUUAAAAUUGUUGAUUUCUGGACAACUUGACUACUUAGCAAAUGAUAUCAAAGAAUGAUGAAGUUUGAAACCUAGAAAGUUGAAAUAUCCUAGAUCAUGUUUGACGGUGCUGAUGGUCUAUCCAGAUGCCCCAUUAUCGGAAAUGACACGGAAGUGAGCUGUACUUGUAGAAGUAUUCUAGCCUCUCCUUUUCUCUCUCUCUCGAUCUCGAUUUUCUAGGUUGAAAUAUAGAGCAAAAAGUUGGUGGUGGCACUAUUAUGGAUCAAUAAGGUCUAAGGUUCACUUCUUGAAGAUCCCCCUGCUCCCCCCCCCCCCCUUCAAAAAUAAACAAAAAAAAAACACACACACACACACACACACACACACACACACACAAAAAGGAAAAAAAAAAAACUCAAAAUGCAGUUCCUCGUGGAAACUGGCUCCUGCUCGGCAUGCUAUCUUGAACGGCUAGCUCCGAUGCAGACAACCAAUAUUUGCAUCUAUACAGGGGAUUUUAAUCCUCAGUUUGCUAUUUUGAAGCAACAAGUGUCGGAUUGUACGUUAUCUGAAUGUACAUGUUCUUUGAGGAAUGGCUAUGAUGACUGCCUGGAUGCACCAGAACUGAAGCAUUUGACUGAAACGUAGCUUGGCAAUCUUUGGAAGGCUUGCAAUUCUGUGAGCAACCAUUAUGCAGCUGUUUGUGUAGUUCUGUGAAGAUUCUGAUGAAAAGGCCAGAUCUGAGCCACCUCCCUUCUCAGCAUCAUCUUCGUUAAAUUAUGAAAAGCUUUCUUGUACUUUAUCCUCUGUCACAAUUAUCUAACUGCUCGAGAAAGAUGGACUGUAGACAACCGUCCGCUUGUAGACAUCUUUGACUCUAUGGUAAACAGUUGCGACAUGUUUGUUGGGUAAAUGAAAGAAAUAUGUUGAACAAGAUGGUUGUGUGUCGAAAGAAAUGAUCUGUGCUGCUGUUUAAAGCUGCAUUCUUAUGUCUUUCCAUGUGGCAGCUGUGAUGAUUGCCAAGUAUGGAAGCAUCAAAACCCUUGAACAUUAGACUACACUUUGAUCUGCACAGCGUGGCAACUUUUGGACGGCUUGUUUAGCAAGCAUCCAUUUUGCGUUUGUAUGUGUAGUUCGCAAAUGCUCAUAAAAAUGGGGUGAAAAUGUGCAGAACUUAUCUGAACUAUGGACCAUUUCGAGAAAGGCAGAUUGUAGACAACCGUCCGCAUGUUUGUUGUGUAGACAUCUUAGACUCUAUGGUUAACAAUUGCGGCAUAUUUGUUGGGUAAAUAAAAGAAAUAUGUUGAUGGUCAUGUGUCAAUAGAGGCUCUAAAUUUGCACUUUUGUUCUGCGCCACAAAUGAGCUGUGCUGCUGUUGAAAGAUGCAUUGUUACCUCUUUCUAUGUGGUGGCUGUGAUGAUUGCCAUGUAUGGAUGCACCAAAUCCCUACAACAUUUGACUAAACUUUGAUCCGCACAGCUCGGCAACCUUAGGAAGGCUUAUUUUGCAAGCAUCCAUUUUGCUUUGUAUGUGUAGGUUUGCGAAUGCACACAAAAAUGGCAGAUCUGAGCCACAGCGUCUAAAUAUCUCCUUUUCCUUGUUUAGAACUAACAAUUUUUUACCCCUUGCUUGCUCUUGUUUAAAGAACUUCUGUUUGCUAAAUCGCCUCUUGCAACAAGGUGGUUAGUUGAUAAGAGGAAAAAUGUUCCUUUAUGACAAUAUAUGUUUUUGAAGUUUAGUGGUGAUAAUUACACCGCAGUUGGAGGGGGUUUGGCAUAUUUUUGUCUUUAAAUAUGGCCCGCAGGUAGUGUAGUUUUAACAGAGCAUUAGACCUGCCUGGCAGGAACAUUGGAUGGCCUGCUUAUAUGCUGGCAACCAAUUUUUGAUGCUGUAAGCUGGAGUUUGUACCGAGGUUCGUAUUAUUAGCGUUGAGCAUCGCGAUGUAACUUUUUGUAGUUGUACAGAGCCGAAGAAUUGCUCUUUUGCAUCCUUCUUCCUUAGUGGGUAAUCAAAAUUUCCACAAAAUUGGAACUUCAAAUCUCACUUCUUUCAAGUUUAUCCCCAAACCGGUUUUCUAUAAAAAUAAACUGAACAUGCGACUUCGGCAAUGCUGAGGACUCAUAGGGGUGACACGGUCGAAUACGGUCGGAUUUUUGAUGAAACCAUAUCCGUAUCCAUUUCGUAGGCUAAUUCGGGUAUGAUGAUGUUGGAUUCGAUCGGAUUUUAUCCUAACCAUUUUCACCCCUACUUGUGGUACAUUUAUUCAGAGGAAAAAUACUCUUGAGCCCUCCAAUGAGGGAUGGACGGAUGGAUGGACGGACGGGUACAUCGCUAAGGCGAUACGAAAGAGAGAACCCUGCGUUGGGGACAAGCAGAAAUGCAGGGAUGCUCCCUUCUUCCUGUAAGUCCCUCUGUCUCCUACUCUCUUCCACCCCAAAAAAAGGAAAAAAAAAAAAGAAAGAAAGAAGAAAGUCAUUUGUCUCGUUUCCCAUCUCUUCCUUUCCUCAAGUGUUUUUAGGUUAGACAGGGAAUGUGGUAAUGGCGGGGCAGUUCUGGACGGUCUGCUCUUCUGCAGGCUACUGAGCUGCAGCCAUUACUCCGGAAAUACAUUGGCGGGAGUGACGGUGGUCAUUCAUAAUGAUGAUGAUGAUGAUGAUGAUGAUGAUGAUGAUGAGGAUUAUAACCUUUGAAGGUGCUUCAGCUUUGUCUGAGGAUGCUUCCGGUGUCAAUGGCACUGGAUCAUGUUCCUCUUGAUACCUCACCUAUCUUCUUGAUACCUCACCUUUUUCUUGAUCCUCAUUAAAGCAGCUAUCAUUUCCUCCUACUUCCUUUCUUGAUGCCCUAUUGUUGUUGUUGUUGUUGUUGUUGUUGUUGUUGUUGUUAUCAUUAUUAUUAUUAUUAUUAUUAUUGUGGUGGUGGUGGUGGUGGGGGUGGAUGGAGUCUACCAUCUCCCUGCCCCUUCGUAAAAAGGGAAGCUUUCGUUUCUCGGGGUUGACCGAGCCCACACAUAUAUAUGUGUGUGUGCGCGCGUGCGCUUUUAGAAGCAUAUACUUUGAACUUUUGGACCCUUGGAUCCCUAUGGUUUACUAGCUAGUGAUGGUUAAAGUACGGAUCCAAGGGCUCAAAAGUUUAAGUUGUAACUUCUCAAAGCAGCAUAAGCUCUAUUCUAUAUAUAUACACACACACACACUGUUGGUGUUUGAGGGUUGGAAAAAAAAAAAACAACAGGAACAAUUCUAGAUGAGGGCUAAAGUUUCAGCAGAAGGUGGAUAGCAUGGUUAUCUUGGAAGGCUCUGCUGUUCUGCAGGCAAGCAUUAUUCUAUGUGAUGUCUUGCGAUGUACGAGAAGAGAUAUCUAUUCCUUUUUCUCAUGCAAUACUCUGUUUGGUGCCAAAUCAUUAUAGAAUUGAAUAUAUUUGCAAUUCCAUGAGGGCAUUUGUAUUGCAGAAAAUGCAAACUAUGGCAAAUCUGACCACAAACCAGUGGAUUUGCUUUAUCGGAAAUAAAUUUAAAGUACACCUGCUAAUGUCUACAAGGAUGAACCAGUUCUUCUUGGCAAUUUCAUCCAAAUCAGUGAUUUGGAGGAUUCCAAACAGGGAAUGAACAAGGCUUCGAUGAUUGCCAAUCUGGUUGCCCACAGUUUGCCCUUGCCGUUUCUUCUUUACCAUUGUACAGUGUAAACAUCUCUUAUAAUAUCAGUUGUUCCGUAAAUUGGAUGGUCUGCUAAUUUAGCAGGCAACCUUUGAAGCUUUUGAUGAGUCUCUUGCCAUGUUAUCAAUCACAGUACUUCUACAUCACUCCCUUAUCAGUGAUACAUCAUUUAUUCUACUAAAUUGGACUAUGGAACAUGUUGCAACAAUCAAGAAAUGUUGAUUCAGAAGUUGCAACAAAUUAAAGUUUAAGGACUAAAGUGUCAUCCGCCUUAUUGUUUGAGGACCAAACGUGUAAUUUAGCCUUAUAUUAACUUACAAAGCACCCAGGAUAAAAAGAAAGUACUGGAUUUUUUUUUUCCCCCUAGAGAAGCUUUCAAUGGCUUGCGAUGCAUCUGCUGUAUGCAAUAAUUUUCCUAUCUCAGCUGCUCACUAGGGCAGCCUUGCGGGGUAGCUGUAGCAGCACUCAAUUGGAGGGUCUGCUGUUUUGCAGGAAACCUUGUUCUAUCAUAUGUCUUUAAGGUACACAAGGUUACAUAAUGCCUGAUCGAAUGGCAAGUCGGAGCCUCUCUUUCCUUCUACUAUCUUUUCAACUAUCAAUAUUCUCAUGCUGACUGUAUGAAUGUCCUCAUGUUGACUGUAUGUUUCAAUCAGACAGGCCCUUAAUGUUUCAUGCUAUGCUAAAGAAGUGUUUCUCCUUCAUUUUAGUUGUCAAUGGAGGCUGUGAUGAUUGCCGGCUGGGGAUGCACCUCAGCUUCUUUUAUCCUUGCUUUUGACUCUUGGCGGAGUAAAGAAGCUGAUCGAAAUACUGGAUAUGAGAGGCAAUAUAGUCAGCUCAAACCAAACAUGUUUGUUGGAUUUUGACAAUUCUGGUGGGAUUUGAGUCUGGUUUGUUGGUUUUCUUGGUCCUUUUACGCUCCUUGACAGCCCUUUGCUUCGUUCCUUUGGGUGGUCUUGGGUGACAUGAUUCACCGGGUGCAGACAAUAAUUUUUCCUUUCUAAGCAGCUAUAAGGCCAACAUCAGCUACCUGUAGCAGUACUUAAAUUGGAAGGUCUGCGGUCUUGUAGGUAACAUUAUGCUGUUACGUCUUCAAGGUGCAUAAGAUUGCAGGACCCCUCAUAAGAUAUGAUUAAAUGGCAUAUCUGAGCCUCCAUUUUCUUCUCCUAAUUCAUUUUUUGCUAUUCAGUGGUACACUCUUCCCUCACCACCCCCCCCCCCCCCCCCNNNNNNNNNNNNNNNNNNNNCCCCCCCCCCCCCCCCCCCCCCCCCCCCCCCCCCCCCCCCCCCCCCCCCCCCCCCCCCCCCCCCCCCCCCCCCCCCCCCCCCCCCCCCCCCCCCCCCCCGCUCCUCUGGCUUUCUUGCUGCAUGUAGAAUCUAGGAUGGGUUGUUUCAUAUUUUCCUUAUCAACUUCCUGGAACCCUGCGUAAUGCUGGUUGAUGACAACUGGAUAGUUGUUCGGGGGUCUAUUUCAAAAUGGCCUAUAGUUGUGGGGAUCAUCAUACUAUUUAUCCUUCUCAAUAUAUUUGAGGGUUAUCCCAAUAUUGUGACUUAGUCCUCGAACCUAUUCCGUAAACACUUGUCCCUUAUCUUUCACAUAUUCUUGCAGUUCAUCCCUGGCCAUCACUUUGGUCCAUAUGUUCCAGGCAAGAUCUCUCAUUAGCACGCUUCAGUGUAAUUUAAUCACUAGAGGAUUGGCGCGUGAGUCGUAAUUGGGGGCAAGAAGAAGUACAGGGCAUGCUCCCUCCUUUGUAUAAGCCCCGCUGUCUACUUUCUCUUGCACCACAAAAAGCAGAAGAAAAAAAGAAAACAUUUUAAUGUUGAUAUGGGAUGGUGAUAAUAGUUUAAGAAGCUUCGGCUUCAUUUGAGGAUGCCUCCUAUGUUGAUGGCGUCAGAUUGCCAUCUUCUUGAUUCCUCUCAUAUUUCUAGAUUCUAGCUAAAGCAACUAUUAUCUUUUUUUUUAAUUACAUCUCCAUUUCUCUUCUUGAUGUCUUAUUUUUUUCUUCUUCUUCUUCUUGUUAAUUGCUGCUGUUAUUGUUAAUUUUACUAUAGUGGUGGUGGUGGUGGGUGGAGUCUAUCGUCUCCCCAUCCCCUCCCGAAAGGGAAAACCCAAAAAACUUCGCUUUUCGGUUUUGACCAAGCCUUCAUUCUUGGUUUUGGCUGUAUAUAUAUAGAGAGAGAGAGAGUUUGCGAUUAACUAUUUAACCCUUGGAUUUCAGCAGUAGGUGCAUGGCAUGGAAAUCUUGGAAGGCACUACUCUUCUACAGGCAACCAUUUUUCCAUGUGAGGCCUUGAAUGUACCAGAAGAUAUAUCUACUCCUUUUCUAAUGUAAUACUCUGUUUGGCACCAAAUCGUUGUAGAAGUGAGUAUAUUUGCAAUCCUGUGAGGGCAUUUUUGGAGCAAAAAUGCAAAUUAUGGUAGAUCCGACCACAAACCAGUGGAUCUGCCUAGAAUUGCUGAAAUCAUUUGAAACCAUUGAAAAUCAAUUCAAUCCACACCUGCUAAUGUUUCCAAGGAUUAACGAGUUCUUGUUUGCAAUUUCGUUCAAAUCAGUGAUUCAAAGGAUUCUAAACAGGGUGCAAAGGAGGCUGUGAUGGUUGCCAACCUGGGUGCCAACGGUUUGUCCAAGCCAUUUCUUCUUUGCUGAGUGUACAAAAUAAACAGCUCUUUUAGUAUCAGUUCUCCUUUGGUAAAUUGGAAGGUCUGCUAAUUUAGCAGGCAACCUUUACCACCAUAUAUUAUAAUGGUGCAAGAAUUAUAUGAUGCCUUUUGAAUAAAGUGGGGGAAAUGGUUGAGAACAGACUAAUUGAAGCUUUAGGUGGGUCUCUUGUGAUGUCAUCGACAACAAUACUGCCACAUUACUGCUACAUAUGUGAGACAUCACCAUCCACUCAACUAAAUUGGCUUGUGAGAUUUGAUUGCAACAGUCAAGGAAGUUCGAGACAGAAAAUUGUAGCAAUUAUAGUUUGAGGGCCAAAGUGUCACCCGCCUCAUAGUUUGAGAACCAAAAGUGUAAUUUAGCCUUUAUUUUAGCUAACAAACCACUGAGGGUGAAAAGACAGCGUUUUCUAGGAACUGGCUCCUGUGAUGCACCAGGUGCAGGCAAUAAUUUUCCUCUCUAUGCUAUGUGUGGCAGCACUCAAUUGGAAGGUCUGCUGUUUUGCAGGCAACCUUGUUCUGUCCUUUGUCUUUAAGGUGCAUAAGACUACAUGAUGCCUCUUGAAAUGUUCGAAUAGCAGGUCAGAGCCUCCCUUUCUUGCUUUCUUUUCAGCUAAAAUGUAUAUCGUGCUGACCGUCCAUAUGUCCUCGUGCUGGCUGAAUGCUUCAAUUGGACAGACCCUUAAUGUCUUGUGCAAUGGUAAGGAAAUAUUUCUCCUUCAUUUUACUUGCCAAAGAAUGCUGUGAUGAUUGCCAAUUGGGAAGGCACGUCAACUUAUUUUAUCAUGCCUUUUGACUCUCGGCAGAGCACAAAAGCUGAUUGAAAUACUAGAUUUAAGAGGCAAUAUAGUCAGGUCAAACCAAAGAUCUUGAUUGGGUUUUGAUAAUUCGAGUGGCAUCUGAAUCUUGUUUGUUGGUUAGCUUGGUGCUUCUACACCCCUUGAGUGCCCGUCACACACUUGUAUGCUGAUUCAGAUGUGGAUAUCCAAGCAUACAUCUCUCUUUCUCUCUCUCUCUUUGUCACGCCCCAGUUUCUUGGAGCGCCACCCAUUCUAGAACUACUCUAGCCGUAGGUUUGCUCAACCCUCUUAACCUUUUGGGCUUAGCCGCUGCUCAAAAUGGUAUUGCUAGGUUAAGAGGUUUAUCUCUAUAAUACCUUAUAUAUAGGACUUCCAAAUCCUAGGGGUGUCACAUUCUCCUCUCGGUUACCUGCUUCCCUCUUUUAGGCUCUGACGUCCUCUCAGGUUCAAACACACUCACAAGCACCGCCGAUGUGAGACUCGUCUUCCUAGCCUUAGAUAACCUUGUGGGGAGCCGCGCUCCACCCACAAUGGCCGUCAGUCGGAGAGCCGUGCUUUUGCCCGUUUUAUGACCCUGGCUCAGCCAAGGAUCAUCUCACACUUAUGGUUGGUGAUUGGCUUUGAUACCAACUGACGCCUCGCUUCCCAGAGGGGUCAUCCAUCCAAGAACUACUCUAGCCUUAGGCUUGCUCAAUCCUCUUAAUCUCUUAGGCCUAGUCACUGCUCAAAAUGCUAUAGCCGGGUUAAGAGGUUUAGCCCUACUAUAUCUUAUAUAUAAAACUAUUCCAAAUCCCGGGAGUCUCCCUCCCCCUCUCCCCCUCCCACCCCCCCCUCCUGAUUGUCUCAUGCCCUAAUGACCAUUUAUAGUCAUAAUCUAUUUCAAGUAAUUUUGGAUUCGAUCAAAUAUCAUAUUUCUAUUUGUUAUAUAAAAUUAUGUGCAAGGCAUGUGAUCAAAACAGUAGCUCAAUUAGUAACUUCACCUGAACAGAGGGGUUCACUAAACUAUUUGAUAAAGUUUUUGCGGUUUUGUUGCCAAAAAGUAAAAGUUUAGGCUCCUGUUUGCAAAAGUGUUAAAGUGCAGAGUACUAAUUUUUGAUGUUUAUAUAUCUAAAAUCAUUUUCUUAAAAUGUAACUGGAAAUUGCCAAGCAGCUCUGGACUGUCUGCUCUUCUGCAGGCUACAGAGCUGCAGCCAUUAUUCCAGAAAUGUUGUGGCGGCGGCGGCUGCAGCUGCAGUUGGUGAUCAUUCAUAAUGAAGAUGAGGAUGAUGAUUAUAACCUUUAAAGAGGCUUCUACCGCAUCUAAAGAGGCCUCCUAUGUCGAUGGCAUCUGAUUGUCAUAUUCUGAUACGGUGAUACCUCUCGUAUUUCUCAAUCCUCGCUUAACUAUCAUCAAUUUUUUUUUCUACUUCUCCAUUUCUCUUCAUGAUGACUUGUUGUUGUUGCUGCAGCUGAUGGUGUUCUUGUUAUUGUUGCUGUUGUUAUUAUUAUUGUUAUUGAGGUCGUGGGGUUGGAGGUGGGUGGAGUCUGAAUGUCUCCCCGCCCCUUCCUGAAAGCCGAAACUUAGAAAACUUCGCUUUGCUGGGUUGACUAAGCCUUCAUUCUUGGUUCUGGUUAUAUAUAUCUAUAUAUAUAUAGAUAUAGAUAUAGAUAUAUAGAAACAGCUUGUAUUUGGGGGACAAAAAGGACAAAACAAACAGCAAUGAAACCAAAUGAGGCGUUAAGUUUACAGUAGUAGUUGCAUGGCAUGGUAAUUUGGAAGGCUCUGCUUUUCCGCAAGCAAUCAUUUUUCCAUGUCUUUUCUUUUUUAUACUUGGUGAAAUGGUUGAGAACAAACUGAUUGAAGCUUUUGGUUGUCUCUUGCGAUGUCAUCAACCACAAUGCUGCCACAUUACUGCUAUAUUAAUGAGACAUCACCAUUCACUUAACCAAAUUGGCCUGUGAGACUUGAUCGCAACAAUCAAGAAAGUACGAGCUACAAAUUGCGGCUAUUAUUGUUUGGGGACCAAAGUGUCACCUGCCUCAUAGUUUGAGGACCAAAAGUGUAAUUUAGCUUUAUUUUAUCUAUCAACCCUUGGAACAGGCAUUAAUUUUCCUAUCUCAGCACUCUGUUGGAAGGUCUGCUGUUUUGCAGGCAACCUUGUUCUGUCAUUUGUGAUGCCUCUUGAUGUGAACGAAUGGCAGGUCGGAGCCUCUCUGUCCUUCUACUUUCUUUUCACUGUUGAUAUUUCUCAUGCUGACCGUCCAUAUGUCCUCAAUCCUCUUGCUGACUGUAUGCUUCAACCGGAAGGCCCUUACUGUUUCAUGCAAUAUUAAGGAAGUGUUUUUCCUUCGUUGUACUUGUCAAAGGAGGCUGUGAUGAUUGCCACUUGGGAAUGCACCUCAACUUCUUUAAUCCUUGCUUUGGAUUCUCGGCGUAGUGUAGAAGCUGACCAAAAUACUGGGUAUAAGAGGCAAUAUAGUCAACUCAAACCUGAGACCUUGGUUGGGUUUUGACAGUUCGGGUGGGAUUUGAAUCUUUUUUUCUUUUUUUUUUUAAUUUUAUAUUUUAGUCCUUUUACACCCCUUGAGAGGCCUUUACGUGGUUCAUUUGUGGGAUAGACAGCAUCUCAGUGGAUGGCUUUUGGCUGACAUGAUCACCUGGUGUAGGCUAUAAUUUUUCCUUUCUCAGCAGCUCAUAUAACCAACAUUAAGUACCUGUAGCAGGACUUAAAUUGGAAGGUCUACUGUCUUGGAUGCAACAUUUUGCUGUCGUGUCUUUAAGGUGCAGAAGAUUGCAAGAUCCCUUGCGAGAUGAUUAAGUGGCAAAUCUGAGCCUCCAUUUUCUUCUCCUACUUUCUUUUAGCUAUUAGGAUUUGGUGGUACAUUAUUUAUUUUUCCCAUUUUUUCUUUUCCUCCUCUGGCCUUCUUACUGCAUGUAGAACCUAGGUGGGUUGUUUUCAAAUAUUCCUUAUCUACUACCUGAAAUGUGACACUCUACUUCAUGCUGGUUGAUGCUAAAUCAUUUAUCCUGUAUGUCUUCAGAUUUAGGCAACUUGUUAGUCUUUUAGAUUUUGAAAAGAACUAAAAACAGAUAAAGAUUCGGAUGUUUGGCAUGUAUAUCUGUAUAUUUGCAUGCUGAUUCAAAUGUGGGUAUCCAGCAUACUUGUAUAUCUACUUUUCCAUUUCUCUUCUUGAUGCCUUGUUGUUGUUGCUGCUGCUGCUGUUGUUAUUCUUGUUAUUAUUAUUAUUAUUACUAUUGUUAUUGUUAUUGUGGUCGCAAUGGUGGUGGUAGAGGUGGGGUGGAGUAUCGUCUCUCCGCCCCUUCCUGAUGGGGGAAACCCACAAAAAUUUGCUUUUCGGGUUGACCAAGCCUUCAUUCUUGGUUCUGGUUCUAUAUAUAUAUAUAUACAUACAAACUGUUUGUAUAUAGAGGAAAAAAGAAAAAGAAAAAAGCAACGAAACCAAAUGAAGCCUUAUUAAGGUUUCAGUGGAAGGUGCAUGGCAUGGCAAUUUUGGAAGGCUCUGCUUUUCUGCGAGCAACCAGUUGUCCAUGUGUUGCCUUGCUUAGAUUUGCCGAAAUGGCUGAGAGCAAACAAAUUGAAGCUUUCGAUGGGUCUCUUGGUUGUCAUCAACCACAAUACUGCUGCAUUACUGCUACUUUAGUGAGACCACCAUUUACUCAACAAAAUUGGCCUAUGAGACGAUUGCUACAAUCAAGAAAUUUUCGAGCCAGAAACUGCAAGUAUUAUAGUUUUGAGGACCAAAGUGUCAUCUGCCUCAUAGUUUGAGCACCAAAGUGCAAUUUAACCUUAUUUUAUCAAACGAACCAAGGAACAGGCAAUAAUUGUCCCAUCUCACCUGCCUGUGGCAGUACUCAAUUGGAACUCAAUUGGAAGGUCUGUUGUUUUGCAGGCAACCUUGUUCCAUCAUUUAUCUUAAAGGUGCAUAAGAAUACACGAUGCCUCUUGAUAUGAUUGAAUGGCAGGUCAGAGCCAACUUCUUUCAUCCUCUCUUUUGUUAUACUUGUCAAAGGAGGCUGUGAUGAUUGCCACUGGGGAAUGCACCUCAGCUUCUUUAGUCCUUGCUUUUGAUUCUUGUUGGAGUGCAGAAGCUGACCAAAAUACUAGGUAUAAGAGAGUCAACUCAAACCUGAGACCUUGGUUGGGUUUUGACAGUUCAGGUGGGAUUUGAAUCUGGUUUUUUUUGGUUAUUUUGGUUCUUUUACACCCCUUGAGACGCCUUUGCAUGGUUCAUUUGUUGGAUAGACAGCAUCUCAGUGGAUGGCUUUUGGCUGACAUGAUCACCUGGUGCAGGCUAUAAUUUUUCCUUUCUCAGCAGCUCAUAUAUGACCAACAUUAGGUACCUGUAGCAGGACUUAAAUUGGAAGGUCCACUGUCUUGGAUGCAACCUUUUGCUGUCGUGUCUUUAAGGUGCAGAAAAUUACAAGAUCCCUUGCGAGAUGAUUAAGCGGCAUAUCUGAGCCUCCGUUUUCUUCUCCUACUUUCUUUUUAGCUAUUAGGAUUUGGUGCUACAUUCUUUAUUUUUCCUUUUUUUUCUUUUCCUCCUCUGACCUUCUUACUGCAUGUAGAACCUAGGUGGGUUGUUUUCAAAUAUUCCUUAUCUACUUCCUGAAACGUGACACCAUACUUCAUGCUGGUUGAUGCUAAAUCAUUUAUCCUGUAUGUCUUCAGAUCUAAGGCAACGUGUUAGUCUUUCAGAUUUUGAAAAGAACUAAAAACGGAUUAAGAUUCGGAUGUUGGGCAUAUAUAUCUGUAUACUUCUAUGCUAAUUCAAAUGUGGGUAUCCAACAUACAUGUAUAUCUACUUUUCCAUUUCUCUUCUUGAUGCCUUGUUGUUGAUGCUGCUGCUGCUGUUGUUAUUAUUAUUAUUAUUUUUGUUAUUAUUAUGGUCGCAGUGGUGGUGGUGGAGGUGGGUGGAGUCUAUCGUCUCUCCACCCCUUCCUAGGGAAACCCACAAAACUUUGCUUUUUGGGGUUGACCAAGCCUUCAUUCUUGGUUCUGGUUAUAUACAUACAUACAAACAUUUUGUAUAUAGAGGAAAAAAGAAAAAGAAAGGAAAAAGAAAGCAACAAUAACAACGAUACCAAAUGAAGCCUUAAGGUUUCAGUAGUAGGUGCAUGGCAUGGUUAUUUUGGAAGGUUCUGAUUUUCUGAGAGCAACCAAUUUUCCAUGUGUUGUUUUGCUUAGACUUGCCGAAAUGGCUGAGAACAAACAAAUUGAAGCUUUCGCUGGGUAUCUUGGGAUGUCAUCAACCAUAAUACUGCUAUGGUAGUGAGACAUCACCAUUUACUCGACCAAAUUGGCCUGCGAGAUGAUUGCAAGUUUUGCAACAAUCAAGAAAGUUUGAGCCAGAAAUUGCCAGUAUUAUAUUUUUGAGGACCAAAUUGUCAUCUGCCUCAUAGUUUGAGCACCAAAAGUGAAAUUUAGCCUCAUUUUGUCUAACAAACCACAGAACAGGCAAUAAUUUUCCUAUUUCACCUACCUGUGGCAGCACUCAAUUGGAACUCAAUUGAAUGGUCUGCUGUUUUGCAGGCAAC
rnacentral:lncRNA from 1 species